rnacentral:lncRNA from 1 species
AUUUAUGGACAUUCGUAGAACUCUUAGCUGCUUCAGUCCCAGCAGGGCGUUAAGUCGACAGCCUUGUGUGUUAGACUGACUCGCCACCCGAAAUCCAGACAGCUCCUGGAGAUAAAUUAGCUUCUCGAGUCCACGAGGUAGAUACUGGAGAGGACAAGAUCCGAGGUCCAAGAUGAUCAGCUUCUUCAAACUAGUAAUUGAUGGAUGUAGUUUGGUGCACCUCCUCAGAACAAGUAUUUGGAGAUUACGAAGCUUUUGAAUUGAAGAUGGGAGCUCAAUAUUGCCUGCAACUCCGCUUAAGUUGAGACAUGCAAGGCGUUUAAGUGAAGAGAUCUUAUCCAAUAGAUCCUCAACAUUAAUUUGAUCAAGCUUACAGUAUGAGAAAUCCAGCACCCUCAGUGACAUGAGCGAUUUCACAUUCCAAAGGGAAACUGGAGUGCUUGAUUGCAGUAUCAAUGCCCUGAGCCUUGAACUUUUUUUCAGGGAUUUUGGAUCCAUGUCACUGUUGAAACCGAACCAUCGCGAGUCUUGUGUCAAUUUCUGCCUGCCUUGUUCAUCAAAGCUGCAAAAAGCCUCAUCUUUUGCAAUCUGAAUGGUCAUAUCCCUGACCAGAUCGUGCAUCUUGCAACUAUAGACCCUGCCAUCAUAGCCUCUUCGAUGCACAACUUCAACCAAGCAUCUGCUUACUAGCUCUGAAAGAUAAUCAAAGCUUAAUUCCGUAGCAGUCCGAUUGUCCCUGCCCCGGACGAGUCCUUCUCCCACCCACCAAUGUACCAUCUGUUCACCACUUAUCUCAAAGUCGUCGGGAUAAACAGAGAAACACAAGAGGCACUGCUUUAGAUGUGUGGGGAGUUCAUCAUAGCUCAGUCGUAGAGAAGCCACCACCGAAUUUUUCUCUCUUUCGGUUGUCAAAUAUAUAUAAAAAUCAUCAUUGAUUUUAUUCCACUCACUAAGGGAAUGGGCUUUUGGAGCAAGCAAGCCUCCUAUUGUCUUGAUUGCCAGCGUUAGUCCCCCGCAUUUCAUCAAGAUCUCUCUACCUUUUUUAUCAAACUCCUUAUUGGGGCAUUUUCCCUUGCUCGUUAAAAAUGCAUGCUUGCAGAGUAAUGACCAACUCUCCUCUUCAUUUAAAAUUUUUGGGCGAUGAAUUCUUGACUCAUCAACUCCCAUACUGUUGACAACGGUUUCAUUUCUAGAUGUGAUGAUAGCGAAGCAUCUUUUUUCAGUCGGAUAUAAAUUCUUCCACCAAUCUAGAUUCAUUCUCCACACAUCAUCCAUUACAAUGAGACAGGUCUUGUCACUGAGCCUCUGUUGAAUUUUGUGCAGCAAAUGGCUUUCUUCAAUUCCCGAUUCAUCCUCUCCCAGCUGUUUCAACAUGGCCCUCAUGACUCGUUCCUCGCUGAAAUUCUGAGAAACUGGCACCCAUAUCCUCUUCUCAAAGUAUGCAACCAUCUCUCCAUCAUUGAAUAUCUUUUGGGCAAUGGUGGUUUUGCCUAAACCACCCAUACCCACAAUACCGAUUUGCUGAAGCUUCUCAUUACUGCUAAGGAUCCACCCUUUAAUCUUUUCCAAGUCCUUCUCCAAACCGAUUAUUUCAGAUGGUUCCUGGUCCUCUGGGGAAUAUUUAAAUAUUUGGUAUGAUGAAUUAUUAGGCCCCUGCUGGAUGAUUGGCUGUUCUGCUCUUCCAUACACCCCCAAGCUAGACUCCAUUUUCUCAAUCCGUGAAUUGAUAUGCUUCAAAUCGUUGCCUGUUUGGUAUAUGAAAAACAAGUCACGAAGUGAGAACCUGUGGCAAAACCCAUCUUUCCGAUAUUCAUCUCUAAUUUGGCAAUCCGUCAUUAUGUCAUCAGCUUCAUAAAUUAUUUUUCUCAGGUUAGGCAAGAUCUUCUGUAUGAACUCCCCCCAAGUUUUCUGCUUAUCAGUGCAGGAGAUGAAGGCAGUCAUUAGCUCAAGCUUUGUCUUCAUUGCCUCAAGCUGAUCUUUAAAAUCAAGUGCGUACUGAGCUUGAGUCAGCAAAGCAGAAAACACUCUCUCUAUCAAUGUCCCAAUCAUCGCCUCUGUCGCUUUCGACGCCGCCAUAUCCUCGGGCAAAUGUUCCCUGUUAAUUUCAUGUUCAUUAUCAUCUCAGUAAAGCAUACAUCUUAUGAGCUCGUAUGGGCUUCUGCUACAACCAUACAAUCAUGACACACAUAAAGUACAGAUGGCAGAAAAGAGACUAGCACUUUCAGUACUAGGAGGGACAAGACAAAAUAUAUAAUGGAUCAUCUCAUUUCCAUGGGACUUGACAGAACAUCUAUCAGAAUAGUGAAGUCACCCAACAACAUUGAUCAGAGUAAAAUUGUGUCAUAUGCGUGAAUCGACAGAAUGAUAGAUUGUUACUAGUCAGAACAUAAUAAUGUAUCGAAAAAAAACUGAGAAUUGAAGCUAAGGUCUAGCUCACUUUCUUAGGACUCAGGUCUUAGGUUCGAGCUUCAGUAGAACAAGUUACGAAUUGGUUCUCUGCGUAACCAAGGAUCAAAUACAAUAAUUUAUUGAAAAUAUAUUUAUCAUAACUUUAAAAUUAAGAGAUACAACGACAAAUAUUAACUUAAUAAAAGAUCAUCAUCGACCGUCAAAUUCUAUAGACACGUUUAUAAAUUUUCAUGUUUAAAUUCACAUCAAUCAGAGAUUUAGCAAUUGCAUGGGUGAUGGUCGAUGAAUCGUAAAAGGGUUUUAAGCAGAAGCACUUACUGGAAUCCUGAAAGUGUGUGUAUGUAUAUAGCUUGACUGGGCUGAACAGAGAGUAUGGUAGAACCUGAAACCCAAAAAACAAAUUGAGUUUUAACAGUCAGAGUAGAUUGUUCAGCUGAAUAUAACAGAGUACCAUGUAAACAAAUUAUUUUUAUUUUUACUUGUAAUUCCUAGCUGGCUGUUCAACGUUUCAGUUCGCUUAAUCACUCACUAGCUCUUAUCUGGCUCUGGUAAUUUGAUUUCUAUUGCCGAUAUUUAUUAUAUAGGAGAAGACAUGCCAGAAUUGAUCAAAUAACAAGCCACCUGCGCUUUGUAUUUUGAGGGUACAAGAAAAGAAAGUGAAAAAAAUAUUUUGACUGAUUAAUAAAAGUUGAAUUGGUUAAAGUUGAAAGCUGUUGGAAUUUGGAGAUAAGAAGCAUUUAUAUUCUCUUCUCUUCACAACAAUCCAAUUUUGUUUAAUUAAAUAUCAUAACAAUUAUAUUUUUAAUUUUAACAAAUUAUAAAUUUAUGAUUUGAAUGAGACUACAUAGUUGCAUAAGAAUUUUAAGAAAAAAUGUUAUCUUCGUAGUUUAUGGAAAUCAUUAAUUUAGACCUUUAGCCCAAGUUGGUACUAUGUAAAAUUAUUAUAUAAUAGAGUUUAUUAACUUAUCUGAGUAUUAAAUUGUAGUGGAUUUACUAUAUUAACCUAAGUGGUGAUCUUAUUUGCAGUACUAGAGAAGUUUUGAUGGUAUAGUUAAUGGGACAAAGAAGAAUUGCAGUAAAAAGAGUGCGUGAAAAAAAAUUCAAAAUAAUAAUGAUCUUAAAUUUUCUAAUUUAUUUCUUACCUAAUUAAGGAUAAUUUUGGGUUCACAGUAAAAUAUGUAGGGAUAUAUAUGAAAUUAUAUUGAAGAUAAAAUUGAUUCUCAAAAUUAAAUUUUGAAAAACUACUAUCUCCUCGCUUUUCAAAAUCAACUAUAAUAUAGUAUACAAUUAUUUUGACAAAAGUGAUUUUUAAGAAAAUUUAUCAAACAGUAAAGUUAACUUUUAAUUUUAAAAAUUAUUUUUGAGCCUUCUAACAGAAAUUUCAAACAAAUCCCAAAUAUUUCUAAAUAACCAAGUAUAACAUUACUUAUAAAUAAAUUGAAGUGGUAGGUUAUUCUGUCCCAACAGUCAUUUCUAGGCCAGUAUAUCACAUACAAGCAGAAGGUUCUGUAUCGAUUCCUCUCACUUGUUUGAAUGCUCGAAUGUCUGAUGUCACAUACCAUCAACAAAUAGUUUGCUUAUCAAACAAAGAAGAACUUUUUCAAAAAGCAAAAGAAAAAAAAAGAAGACUCUGAUAAAAUCCUGAGAAUAUAGUCUUUUUCUUUGCAGGUGAAUUCGUAUUCAAAGGGCCCGAUAAAGCCUGAAAAUAUUAAUUGAUACUAUUCUUGUUGAAUUUUUAACAGGCAUGAAGAACAAUUAUAGGCUGGCAUUAUUGUUGUAACCCAAAAUGAAGAGAAUCAAAAUAAAACAAGAAAAGGGAAACUGCUUUAUUCACAAUAGGAAAAUAAAAGUACAUAUAUUAGUCACAAAAGUCAAAAUCAAUAUUUUUUUUAGAUAUUUCUGUCAAAAAGAAGAAUAAAUAAAGAGGUUUAAAAGUUUAAUGAUUAUUCUCGGUCGAAGCAAGGAGUGGGUAUGUUCGAAUUAAAAGUUUCAAUUAGAUUAAAUAUGAAAUUGAUUCUCAAAACAAAAUUUUAUACUGUUUCCAAGUUCUUCAAACAGUUUUAGUUUACUGACCAUUUGAGUUCAAGAGAUUAAAAAAAUUAAUUUUCGUUUUGUGCACCCCCUCUAUCUUUUACGGGUGGGGUAAAAUUUUGAACAAAGUCUAUAGUAUUUGUGGCUUUGUUACACACACGGCCAGAUUUUGGUCCGAUUUUUCUGUUUAAGCCUUCAAAUGAUCUUUAUUUAUUUAUUUAAGAAAUUUUAAGAAUGUUUUCAUUGAUUUUUUUUUUUAUCCGCCUGGUUUUGGGAAUUAAGGAUACUUUGUUUCAUUUAUUUUAUUUUUAAUUUAUGGUAGGUUAGUAGUAAUCUCAUAUUAAAAAUUCGUGUUAUUGCAUCCUUGAAUGUUUUCAUUGAUGGUUUAUCUAAAGGUAAUCCAGGUAGCUCAAUUUGUGGUGGUGUUUUUUGAGAUUACACGGGAUCUUUUUAGGUGCUUUUGGUCUUUCUUUAGGCAUUAACACUGCCUACUUUGCUGAAAUUAUGGCAGCUACGUUAGCUACUGAAUUUGCUCAUGACAAGGGUUGGUAUUGUCUUUGGCUAGAAAGCGACUCUAUGUUAGUCAUUCAUCUUUCUUCCAAUCCUUCGCUCAAUCCUCCAUGGGGUAUUCAUAACAGAUGGUUGAAUUGUUGUAAUCUCAUCAAUUCUAUGGUGUUUAGAUUCUCUCAUAUCUUCUGAGAAACUAACUAUGUGGCUGAUCAUUUAACUAACUUGGGUCUUAUUUGUGAUUCUCUCACUUGGUGGCAGACUCCGCCUUUAGAGAUUUUGGGUUACUUUCUCAUGAUGCCAAUGAAUUUCUAAAAUAUCAUUUUAUAUGGUUACCUCUUUUGGUUUAACUUCAUACUUUUUUUCUUUUUUCUACUUUAACUUCUCACAAAUUUUAAGGGAUAAAACUCAUUAUGUCCCCUCUAGACAAUUGUAAUUCCUUUCUUUUAUUUUUUUGAUUAAUUAAUUCAGUUUAUAAAAAAAAAUUGACCAGUAUUAUUACUCUAUGUAUUAGCAUUAAAUCACACAUUAUUAAUGAAGUAAAAAUGAUAUGACGGAUCCAAUUUUAGUAGGUUUACCAAGUUCAAUUAAAGGCGGAUUAAACAAAUUAAUGUGUAAAAAUAAAACAAACAAGAGAAUUUUUACAUGGUUUAGGAUUCAAAUCCCUGCAUCCAUGAUGCCACAUUUAGAUAUCAAAUAAUUCACUAGGUUCAAGAGAUUACAAACUAUUGGAAUCUUACACGGUCUGAGACACCCUCUAGUGAUUGUGGCCACCUUGUCAUAACCUAACCAAGUGACCACUUUGUGUGCACCACAUGACUUUUGCUUCCUCCCCAGAGCAAGACUUCUUAGUCAAUGGUGUGUCACCUCUCUGUAAAUUCCCUCUACCGCGAACAUGUGACCCUUCUCGUGAAAAGACUAGAGACAAUGUCUCCCAAAUCAAAGAAUGAUCACAAGGUUGUAGCCUCUGAAGUAGAAUCCUUUUAGUAAAAUAUAUGAAUGACUCACCUUUAUACAGUGACAAACAAAUCACGCGUAAUGAAGAGUCUAAAUUUUUUUCCUUUGAUAACUCCCAAAGCCUUUAGAUGUAUAAGGAACUCUUCACGAUAAUAUAACAAUAUUAUCUCUUCAAUAUCUGUUUAUCAUCUGCUUUAAAUCAAAACAAUUUAAUCUCAAUCUUCAAUGAUCACGCCAAUUGUAUUUUCCAUCUCAAGGAAUAUUGCUUGCUUGAUCUUGAUAGAUAACAUCUAUGUAGAGAUUGAUUUAUCUUAAACUACUUUGACCUUGUUGUCCGCAUGUGAAGUAACGCCAUGUCUUCCAUCUUCUCUAUGGUUCACGCCAACUUCAUCAUAUAAGUUUGCCUUAUGCGUUUCGCUCAUGCUAAAAUAUCUCUGUAUAGACUAAUGUGGACCUCACAUACAUGUAAUAUGUAAAAUCCUAAUUUGCCUGUAUUUGCCGUCGUUCCAAGGCACUGUUGUAAUACUUGAGAUUAACUAAAUUACGUAGGUAUUAAAAUAUUAAUGAAGACUCAAUGAUGUGUACAAUGAGGAUGGCGACGUACAAAUAUUAAAUGGAUGUUGUAUAGAAAUACCAACAUUCAUACAAUGAAAUUCCUUUUUUUUUUCCCCAAAAAACUGAAUAUUGAAACUGAUUCAAUUUCAAUCACCCGCCCUAAAAGUUGCAUGACAGCUAGAACAGAUCCAAGAACACAAAAAGUCUGCGAAUUAAAGGACCAGAAAAUUGGAGAAUUACUUUAUCGUAGCAUCUUUCUUUUCCUUUAAUGGAGUGAAUAACGAAUCGUGUAAUCUGGGAAUUAUUUAAGAAUCUAAAUAGAAACAAUCUGUCACCACUGAUACUUGCUGGAUUAUAUUAGUGCCAUUCCUGAAGUUUGAAGAGCUUUAGAGCCACGAAUCUAAUCUUCAUGAAUUUUUUUUUUUUUUUGGGAUAAGCUGCAUGGAAAUUUCAAGAAAUCGCUGAUUGCGAAAAACAAGUGGAAAACAUUUAAGACCAAUGCGUGGUUAAAACUUAACACACCACCUGGGAUCCGUGUCUUCCUUCAGAAGGAUGCUUCCCAAUCCCUUUAAAAUCGCUUUAGUUGAUCAGGUAUGCGUAUAAAGAAAAAAAAAAUUAGAAUACAUGUAUGUCGGUUCAGUUAAUCAGGUAUGCGUAUAUCGUUUUAUAAAAAGAUUCCGCAAUUGAACUAAAAUUUUAUAAAAUUGAAACUAUAAUUUUUAUUACAAAAAUCUCAAAUUUUAUUAAUGACAUAAGAAAUUAGUUUUUUUAAACCUUAUUUACCAUAAGACUCCAAUAAUAACUUGAACUUACUAUCGGGUUACUAUUACAUGAUAAUCUACCAUGCAUAAAUUAAAGAUAAAAUAAAUGAAGCAAAGGACCCAUAAUCCAACAACCAGAACAUAUAAAUCAAUGAGAACAUUCUAAAAAUUUCUGAAAUAAAGAAAUAAAGAUCAUUUGAAGGCUUAAACAGCAAAAUUCGACAAAAAUCUGGCCACAUUUAAACAAAGCCACAAAUUCUUUACAUUUCGUUCAAAACUUGAAACAAAAUAUCAUGGAGGGUCUGGUUAACAUAUUACCCGGCCACAUAUCCUCGAUCAAAUGGAAAUAGAUGCCAACACAUCCACACUUUGCUUUGACCGGCCUACAAUUAAUUAUUAUAAUUUUAAACUCCUUUUCUUUUUUUAUUUUAUUUUUGAAGGAUAUGUAUGAUACGUGUGCUUUGUAAGACUUGGUCAUCAGUUCUGUUAAUAAACUAGUGGAGCUAGUCUUUAGCAUUAAUAAACUAGUGGAGCUAGUCUUUAGCAUUCUGUUUUGAGUUUUCUGUUAUAAUACCAGGUGAUUUGGUCUUGUUGUUUAGUUUCCAACUGUAAGACUAUUAUAAGUAGUCAGUUCUGAGUUGAAUAAAGCGGAAUUACAGAAACAUUUUCCCUCUCUUUUAUCUCUCUGCUUCCUUCUUCUUCUUAACUCUUAUUCUAAAUUAUACCAUAUCAUUUUGGUAUCAGAGCAGAUUGGUCAAUGGACACUCGCGGUAAAUCUAAUGCCGAAUUCCGCAAUGAUGUCAACGAAGCCUUAGCUCGACAUGAAUCCAAUUUUGAUCAGAUCAAUGAUUCCUUGCAUAAGGUGUUAACUGAGUUACAAGCUUUGCGAGUCUCCCGACCUCAACCAACCAUCCAGCCUGAAAUCAACCCUUUUCACCUCGGAGAAACCUCACAUACCACAAACACUCACACACCCCACACACCAAAUGACCAACAUCACCACCUCAAACUUCACUUCCCACGAUUUAACGGAGAAGACCCCAGCGGUUGGAUUUACAAGGCAGAACAAUACUUUGAAUUUAAAAACAUUGCACCAGGCCUACAAGUUCAACUUGCCUCUUUCCAUCUUGAAGGUAUUGCCUUACAGUGGCAUCGGUGGUUAACAAAAUUUAAGGGACCAUUAUCUUGGCAAGAAUUCACAAAAGCCAUGCUUCAAAGGUUUGGCCUAACAGACUAUGAAGAUCCCUCUGAAGCUCUCACACGAUUAAAACAUACCUCAACUUUAGAGGCUUACCAGGAGGCUUUCGAAAAAUUAUCCCACUGUAUUGACGGAUUACCUGAAAAUUUUUUGGUGGGUUGUUUUAUUGCAGGUCUCAAAGAUGACAUUCGCUUGGAUGUCAAGAUCAAACAGCCGCGAACGUUAACUGAUGCUAUUGGUGUUGCUCGGCUGGUUGAGGAACGAAAUAACCUGCAAAAGAAAAUGAGCACUUCCUUUCGUCCAUCCGCAAUUACAGGAGCACAAAGAAUCAUACCACACCAUUCCAGUGGCGUAUUAGGCCCCCCGCCAACUUCCAAAGUAAACCACAAUGCCAGCAACUCAACAAUUCCAUUUCGACGCAUCACAAAUCAAGAGGCACGAGAACAACGGGCAAAUGCUCUUUGUUAUUAUUGUGACGAAAAAUUUGUUCCCGGUCACCGCUGCCAAAGGCCGCAAUUAUUCAUGAUAGAGGAUUCGAAUCAAAUAAACCUUGCUAAGGAACCUGCCGAACCCGAAUCUGAGGACCAUGAAGUCAUGCCUGAAGUUUCUGCCUACGCCAUUUCAGGAGCCAGUCAUCCGUAAACGUUCCGUGUGAUGGGUAAACUGAAGAACAAACCGGUAACGGUGCUCAUAGAUGGCGGCAGCACGCACAAUUUCAUUGAUCAAGCUGUAGUCACUAAAUAUGGGCUACCUGUUCUUCAGAAUAAAAGGUUCCAAGUGACGGUCGCCAACCAAGAACAAAUCGAAUGCAAAGGCUUGUGUCAAGCACUCACGAUCUCCAUUCAAGGUAAAUCAAUUACUGCUGAUUUUUUUGUGCUUCCUGUGGCAGCCUGUCACUUGAUUUUGGGCGUACAAUGGCUAGAGACUAUUGGACCAAUAGAGAUGGAUUACAAGCAGUUGACGAUGACCUAUAAAGUUGGAGAAGAGACCUACACAUUCCAAGGUCUUAAACACACCCCUUUAGCGGCAUUAUCUGAUAAAGAAUUCAACUCUAUUCAAGGUAGUGGAUUCCUAUUCCAAAUAUCUCUCUCUCCCAAUAAUUUCCAGCCGAAUCUUUACCCAGGUGACAUAAUUCAGAUCUUAACCAAAUUCUCUAAUGUUUUUACGCCACCUACUAGCCUACCACCAAAGAGACCACACGAUCACUAUAUCCCACUACAACCAAAUACACACCCUGUCAACGUAAGACCCUACCGUUACCCUUAUUACCAAAAAACACAAAUAGAGAAGAUGGUGAGAGAACUUUUGCAAUUUGGGUUGGUAAGACCGAGUAAAAGCCCAUUUUCAUCACCAGUCCUCUUAGUAAAAAAAGCAGAUGGUGAUUGGCGAUUCUGUGUGGAUUACCGUGCAUUGAACAGCAUCACGAUCAAAGAUAAAUACCCGAUUCCUGUAAUUGAUGAACUUCUGGAUGAGCUCCAUGGAGCUAAAUUCUUCUCCAAGUUAGAUUUAAGGGCUGGGUAUCACCAAAUCCGAGUACACGAUGCGGAUAUACCAAAAACAGCCUUUAGGACACACGAAGGGCACUGCGAAUUUCUCGUAAUGCCGUUUGGCUUGACCAACGCCCCAUCCACCUUCCAAUGCCUCAUGAAUGAUCUUUUCCGCCCUUAUCUAAGGAAUUUUAUCUUGGUCUUCUUUGAUGACAUCCUCGUGUACUCAAAGACAUGGAAUGAUCACCUUGCACAUCUCCGGAUUGUCCUCUCUAUUUUGCAAACUAACAAACUAUUUGUUAAGGAAACAAAAUGCAGGUUUGGUGUUUCUCAGGUGGAUUAUUUGGGUCACGUCAUUUCAGACCAAGGAGUAGCAGUAAGUCCCUCCAAAAUACAAGUUGUUCUUGAAUGGCCAACGCCAACCACUGUCAGAGAAGUACGGGGGUUCCUCGGUCUAGCAGGUUAUUACCGCAAAUUUAUCCUCCACUUCGGAUGUAUAGCAGCCCCUUUAUAUCAGUUGUUAUCAAAGGAAGGAUUCAAGUGGAACGAGGCAGCCGAGUUAGCUUACCAACUUAAAAGAAGCACUAACGUCUCCUCCAGUCCUAGGCCUUCCAGAUUUUUCUCAACAAUUCGUAAUCGAAUGUGAUGCUAGCGGGAUUGGAAUUGGACCAGUACUCACUCAGACUAACCAGCCAAUAGCAUACUACAGUGAAGCUUUGAAGGGGACGGCAUUAUUACUAUCUACCUAUGAGAAAGAAAUGCUGGCUGUUGUCAAAUCAAUUCAGAAAUGGCGCCUAUAUCUCCUCGGGAAACCAUUUACUGUCCGCACCGAUCAAAAAAGCCUCAAGUAUUUACUUGAGCAGCGAAUUACCACUCCUGCACAGGCUCGAUGGCUUCCGAAGAUCCUUGGUUAUGACUACAAAAUUGAGUAUAAACGCGGACCUGAAAAUCAAGCUGCUAACUCACUCUCUCGUGUUGUUGAAUUUCAGUUCAUGUCUAUUUCGGGACCACAUGCAGAUUGGUGGCAAAAAUUGCAAGAAGAGGUACAAUAGGACUAUUUUUAUAAGAAACUGAGUCAUUCUCAUUCAUCCCAACAGUUGACACAACGAGAUGGAGUAUGGUUUAAAAGGGGCAGAAUUUAUUUGAAUCCCACUUCUACUUUAAUUCCACAAGUCAUGGCUGAUUGUCACUCGUCUCCAGUUGGUGGGCAUUUUGGGUUCCAUAAGACACUAUCUCGAAUUAAACUCAGCUUCUGGCGGCCAAACUUGCGUAAAACCGUGAAGGAAUUUAUACAGCACUGUACCAUCUGCCAAAGGUACAAAUCUGAUUCUAUGCGUCCGGCCGGUUUGCUGCAACCACUACCCAUUCCUCUUCAGAUAUGGACUGAAGUAUCGAUGGAUUUUAUCGAGGGACUACCGUCGUCAAAUGGUUAUACUGUCAUCAUGGUAGUUGUUGAUCGCUUAUCCAAGUAUGCUCAUUUUGUGGCUCUCAAACAUCCAUACACGGCAGUCACGAUUGCUAAAGCGGUUGUAGCUAAUGUGGUUCGCCUCCAUGGCAUUCCAACAGCCAUUGUAAGUGAUCGAGAUAAAGUAUUUGUAAGUUCAUUUUGGCAAGCAUUAUUUCAAUUACAAGGAACUAAACUUAGAAUGAGUUCUAGUUACCAUCCUCAGACGGACGGCCAAACUGAGGUAGUGAACCGUACUUUAGAGCAAUACUUGCGAUGUUUUGCCGGAGAUCAGCCACGAAAAUGGGUUGAAUGGAUUCCAUGGGCUGAAUUCAGCUAUAAUACGUCCAUCCAUUCCGCCACCAAAAUGACCCCAUUUGAAGCUGUCUAUGGUAUUCCUCCACCUCACUUACUUACUUUUGUUCCUGGCACUUCCCGUGUUCAAGCAGUGGAUGAGUACCUUCGGGAUCGCGACACCAUUUUACGCGAGCUCCGCCACAACCUCUCUUUGGCAAGACAACGAAUGAAAAGCCAGGCAGAUUUAAAACGACAGGAGGUAUCCUUUGAGGUUGGUGACUAUGUGUAUCUCAAGCUCCAACCAUAUCGACAGACGUCGGUGGCCUUUCGUGCUUCUAUGAAGCUUGCUCCUCGAUUUUUUGGGCCAUAUCAGAUUAUUGGGAAGGUGGGGACAGUAGCAUAUCGGUUGGCUCUACCCCCAAGCUCAUAAAUUCAUAACGUGUUUCAUGUUAGCAUGCUUCGGAAGCAUUUGGGACCUAUUCACACCUCAGCUUCAAAUCAACUUCCUCCUGUCUCAGACGACUCUAUUAUUCUUCCUCAGCCUGAAGCAAUACUUGACCGCCGAGUCAUUCAAAAGGGCAAGUAUCGGCCAAAAUCUGAAAUUUUGGUUAAAUGGAGGGGAGCUCCCAACGAGGACGCAACCUGGGAGAAUGAGUGGCGCUUUACCAAGUCUUACCCAGAUUUUAUCCUUGCGGACAAGGAUCCUUUAAGGGGGGAGGAAUGAUACGUGUGCUUUGUAAGACUUGGUCAUCAGUUCUGUUAAUAAACUAGUGGAGCUAGUCUUUAGCAUUCUGUUUUGAGUUUUCUGUUAUAAUACCAGGUGAUCUGGUCUUGUUGUUUAGUUUCCAGCUGUAAGACUAUUAUAAGUAGUUAGUUCUGAGUUGAAUAAAGCGGAAUUACAGAAAUAUUUUCCCUCUCUUUUAUCUCUCUGCUUCCUUCUUCUUCUUAACUCUUAUUCUAAAUUAUACCAUAUCAAUGUAUAUAUAUAUAUAGGGGAUCCUGAGCUUUCCUAAAGUAUUAGAAAUCUAUUAAGGCAUGUAGUUUAAUCAUAUAAUGGUACUAUACCGUUAAAUCAUAUGACUUACUAAUUUUUUCUAACUUUAACAAAGUUUAGGAUCUUGGACUAGAUCAGUAUAUAUCCAGUAUCCUGAAUUAGAAAACACACACAUACAGAGACAUGUAUAUAUCCGUGGAAAGAGAAGGCUUUAUAAAUAAUAAUAAAAAUACCUAAUUAAGGAGACAUAAUGAAUCUUAACCCUACAGAGAAGGUUAAGUACAAGGCAGCGAAAAAUAAAUUCGAAAACAAAAGUCAUGCAUGUGAAGUGCAAGAAAGUAAAAAGCAAUGCAAACAUAUAUCUAGGGAACCGCCAUUAACAUCUAUGUUGUGAAGAAGAAAGAGAAAGAGAGGAAGACAAGUAAACGUGCUUCUUAUCUCCAAUAGCUUUCCACUUUAAUCAAUCACAAAUAUCUUUAAACUUUAAUCAUCCCUUUAACAAAUACUUUUCAAUUACCCAAAUAGAUUCGACUUUAUUUAAUCCAUCAAAAUGUUUUUCACCUUGUUUUCUUCUUUUUUUUUCCUUUUUCCUUUUCUGAAUUCGAUAAUUACUCUUGCACCCUCAAAAUACAAAGCACGGGUGGCGUGUUAUUUAAUCAAGACUGGCAUCUCUUCUCCUGUAUAAAAAUAUCGGCGAUAGAAAUGUUCAAAUUAGCGCAGCCAGACAGGAGCUAGCCAGUGAGUGAGUGAGCGAACUGAAAGUUUAGAACAGCCAGCUAGGAAUUAAAAGUUAAAAAUAAAUAAAAUAAAAUGGAUGAACGUUCUGCUGGGCAUCGCGUGGUUCUAAUUUCUAAGACUGUUUUCUUACUAAUUUUGUUUCUUCUUUGUCAACUUGGCUCCGAGGUCAAAUUUCAGAGUGCUGCUGAAAAUAAUACUAAAGUAGGUGAUCUACCUGGUCAUGAAGGCAAUAUAUGCUAAUAAUUCUUUAUAUCUCGAGUAAAUUUCAUAAUUUUAAAGGGUUUUUGGUUCUCUAGCAUGCGGUUUGCAUUAUUAUAUACAUAUAAGUACAUAGGAAUUAAUUAAUUCGUUGAAUCAGAUGUCUGAAUUUUUAAUGUACAUAUAUAGUCAUAUAUACGCAUGAUCAGUUUACAAUAUAUAUAUAUAUAUAAUUUCACAAAAAAAAGAAUCUCUUACUUGAGUAGACAUAAGUUAAAAGAUUAAAAAAAAACUAUUAUAGUGUAUUUUAUCUUAUAGGAUAUUGAAAAUAUGUGUAUUUUUGUCCUUUAACUUAUCUCUUAUAUUAUGAACUCCCUUAUUAUAAGAUCAAUAUAUAUAUAUCAUCACUAAUUAUCAGGUGCGCAUAAAUUCUCUGUAUUGAGAAUUGCUAAAAGUUAAAACAAACGAAAUUAUAAUUAGAUAGCAAAUUCGAUAAUGCAUGCAACUUUUAUAAAUUAAUUAAGAGUUGAACGAAUGUUUUUGUCCUGUAGCUAUAUAGCUAGCAUAGAUCCAUUUGCUCAUGAUCACUUUAACAACAUUUGUUGACGGAAAUAUUAUUGGCAGUGGACGGUUUCACCGACAUGAUGUCGAGUUUGCAGUGGAAGGCACGACCACCUAAAUUGAGUUCAUUUUGCCGUGAGAUGGUAAAGCUAUUACGGCUAAUUUCCAUUAUUAACGGCAUGUCCAGCAUGUAAGGUUAAUUUCCAUUAUUAACGGCAUGUUAAUCAUUUUGAAUACAGAAUCAUGGAGAGUGUAGCCUUAACUGGAAAAAUCCCAGAACAUGUGGCUGCUCUGACAUACCGGCAGACACUGUAUGUACAAUUAAAUAAUUACUUCAAUGAUCAAUCAUUUUGCAUAAGCUUUUAUAACUAAAUUUAAUAAAUUAAACAACUAAAAUACUUAUAUAUAUAUCAUCGUAAGCUUGGAUAUAAUUAUUUGAUAUAACUUAAAUAAAUAAAUAAAAUUACUCUUGCCUUAAUUAAUACAUGCAUACAUAUUUGAUAUGGUUUUAUAUAUAUACAUGUCAAAACUCAACAGUGAUCUAUCCGACAACACAAUUCAUGGUUCCAUUCCUUACCAGAUUGGGUAUUUAUUUCAGCUUAUCACUCUGUAAGUCCUCACUUGCCGCAAGUAAUUCAAUCAUAGCUCCCUUUUUCUUUUUCUUUUUCCUUUUCUUCUGAUACACUGGAUUUGUGUGAUGAGUAGAGAUUUAUCAAAAAAUCAAUUAACUGGGAGCAUACCAACAAGCUUGGGGAAUUUGAGGAACCUAGAAACACUGUAAGUCUUUUCAUUAGUUACUACGAUCAUUGAGUUAAAAUUAUUCCUUCAUAUUUUGUCUCUAAGUGAAGUGUCAGAUUGAGAUUCUCUCCUUGCCUAUCCUGAAUUUUUAAAGCUCUAUUGACGUGUCACUUAACCAGUUGGCCAAGCCCUAGGGGCCAACUGCCAAUAACAGGCGGCAUUGAAUUUGAAGAGGAUCCAAAUCGGUGAAGUGUCAUGAUGUCCCAAGGAAUUUUAGUCGACAUUUCAUAUUUUUUAAGAUUCAAAUUUUAGGAUGUUUUAUCAUUACUAUUUAAUUUUGUACAUUAUGCAUGCUUGUUCACACACACACACACACACACUCACACACAGAUAUAUGAAAUCUCAAUAGAUAGAAGAUUUUUGGUUCCCUUCAUUUUCUUACUAUGAAGUACCAUCAUACGUCUAUGAUUUCCUGCCGUAGCGAUCUGGGCCAGAACUUACUCACGGGGAAGAUACCACCAUCGUUGGGGCGCUUGUCGUCUCUUCAACUAUUGUAAGAAUCUUCACUUGCAAUGCAAUUUAUUUUUAUUUUUAGGCAAAAAAAAAAUUUUACUACUAAGGGCAAAAAAAAAAAAAAGAUGACACUUAAAUGAGGGUACGCAAUGAAUCUUAUCCUAAAAAAUUAAGAAAACAACACAUAUGACCAAUAUAAAAAAAGAAGAGCAACAUAAGCAAUAAUUACUAGGAAAUAAAAUGCAUGUAACAAUGCAAAUACAACCAUAAACUCCCUGAACCCAUAGCUUAGGAAGACCUUGAGCAUCUUUAAAAAAUGAAAGGCAAAAUAGCAACAGGACAAUCCGGCUACCAAUCUGACUCAGAUUCCACAACUCCCAUAUUAGCCAAUUUAUCUGAAAAUAUGAGUAAAUCGCACUUACAUGUGCUCCAUCAAAAUCCGACAGUUCUUCCAACGAAAAAUUCAGAAGUAAAACAUUGAAAUAUUCAAUUAAUUAAUUACUCCAAAAAUUGCAUUUGCAUUUAUCUCACUAUGUACUUCUGGGCUUUUUAGGUAUCUAUGAAGCAACCAGCUGUCGGGGGAAAUUCCUCGUGAACUGGGAGACCUCUCACAGCUCCGGUAUUUGUAUGAAAUCUCACUCUACUUUUAAAAUUAUAAAGCCAGCUGCUUAAAUCAAUACUUAGCUUAUUUCUUUGAAAAUACAAUACAAUUCUUAAUUUCAUAUAUAUUUUCUAAUAAAUAGAUAUCUGCCGGAGAAUGGACUCAGUGGUACACUCCCACCAGAACUCGGAAAAUUAAGCAAUCUUUAAGAACUGUAAGUGUGUGUGUAAGUAUUUAUUUAUAGAAUUUAUAAAAUGGUUAAUUAGGCUGUUGAUCUCGUCGUGUAUAUAUAUGGUUGUAGCUAAUUAUGUGCUACAUAUAUGUUUGUACUUAAAAAGUCAUUUAUACGUACAAACGCGCGCGCGCACACGCACAUAUUUGGCUGGUAUGCAAUUAUUAUAUGUCAAUCAUUCAUCUACAUACAUACCAAUACCACAUUAAAAUUUACAACAGGUGGUUGACAUCCAACAAUUUAAGGGGGGAUUUGCCAAAAGAUUAUGAGAAUCUAAAGAAUCUGACGAUUUUGUAGGUGUCCUGUUUGUUCAUUUUCUAAUUGUUAUUGUUUUUUCAUUUUUAAGGAUUGUAAUUAAUUUGGUCUAGAUUUUUCUCGCUUAUUGCUUGAAGUCUGCAAAUAUCAGUAGUGGAAAUUUUAUUUGUCAAUGCAGUGACAUAGCUGGGAAUAAUUUAUCUGGUCCGAUCCCCAGAUUCAUUGCAAAAUGGGUCAAUCUCUAUUCUCUGUAAGCCUAUUCAUUUUAUCCUUUUAUGUGUCAACUGAAAAAUGGGCACUCUCAGUGUAAACAAUCUGCUUUUGUUGGUGUUUAAUAAUUUGCUACAUAAAACUGUUAACCAAACUCUGAUAUAUACUCCGUUGGCACACCAUGCCACGUAAAGGUAGGAAUAUGGGCUGGGUAGAAAUGUAGGUUGUAUCAUAAUAGAUUUGAUUUAGAAUAGUCGCAGUAUACAUAUCGCAUCAUAUAAAAGUAAACCUAUUUGCAUGAUGCGAGAAAACAUACAAAAACAAUGAAUUCUCCCACACGCGCGAGCUUAUUAUUAAUAAUAUUACUUUUCUUUGCUUGAAUCUCACAGAAAUCUGAUGGGAAAUAACUUCGAAGGGGAGCUGCCGCCAGAAAUUUUUAAUAUGUCAAGCCUUCAAUUUUUGUAAGAACAAUUAAUAAUAAUCCAAACUCUGCUCUAUCUAUGUAUGUGUGUGUAUAUAUAAUUCUUCUCUAGUGUAGGCGUUCUCUUUUUUUUUAUGGAAACAUGAUUUUAAGUAGCACGAUUUAACAGAAUUAAUUUUUAAUAUUAUUAAACUGCACGGCUUAAAAGUGUUUCUGUAAUAAAAAAUAAAAAAAUGAGGGCGUCUGCACACACAAAGAGAGAAAAUUUUCGGACGGACACACACACAUAUAUAUAGAAAAUUUUCAAUGACAUUAUACUACAUGGUGUAACAUAUAAUAUUAACGUUCUCGUAUUUUAAUAAAGUACAAAAAAUCUCAUUAGAUAAUGACCUAUUAAUGUUUUUUUAGUGCGGGCAUCCUCAUUAAAUGAGGAGAGAGACACACACACGCCCACGAGAGUUAGCUUUCAAUGUGGAACUCUACAUACAAUAUUAAAAACUAUCUUUUUCAUGGUUUGCAAUGUUUUGUCAUAGACAUUGUAAAGUCCAUGACCCCCGGAUUGGAAAUUUUCUUUUUUAAUUUCGCAAUUAACUUAAUGUCUCUGACCUACAAACGAUGGGCUUUUCUUUCCCGAAGUCAGCUAAUUUGAGUAGUAUAUCAAGCCCGUAAGCGGUGUAUUCCAAUUCCAUGCACGUAUAAUUAUUUUAUGCGUUAAUUAUAUAUUUAUCUGUUUUUGUUAAUUAAUUAAUACCUGAUCUGCAUUUUAAAUUUAUUAAUUGUAUACUCUUCCUUAUAAUUAAUUAAUUAAAUCUUUUUUAGAAAUUAAAUUAAUCAUAAUAAUUCUGCAGGACAUUGAGAAAUUGUAGCAUUACUGGUUCAAUCCCACCAUAAAUUGCCAAUUGGAAUCAGUUAGGCUACCUGUAAGUUUAUUUUCGUUUAUUUUCUUAUUAGUUUAGUAAUAUGAGGCCAGAGGUCAUUUAAACUUGUAUCCGCAACAUCUAUUAACCUUGUCAGAAUCUCGUAAAGUAAAUUACUAAACUAGUGUAUAUAUUUGAUUUUUGCAUAUAUUACCUCAAUUUCUAAGAUAUAUUAAAAAAGGGUUAUUUUCAAGAAUACUUUUGGAAAUACACAUCUGUCUUGGAAAAUAGUCAUUUCUAAAAGAAAAUUAAUAAAAUAUUACUGAUUUUUUUUUUUUUUGCCAUCUAAUCUAAUAUUUCCUAAGCUUUAUAUAUAAAAUAAAUUGCAGUUAUAUUACUUUGCAGACAACAAAAAAGAUUGUCUUCAAUUGAUAUUGCUUUUUUUUUUCAAAUAUUGUCUAAAAUUUAUUCAAUCGCCGACCUUCACUAUGCUCAUGGGUUGGGGAGAGUUGUUAAUCCACUUGUGAUCGUUUCCUCUUGCUUAUCAAUCCCGGAAACAAGGACUUAUAUUUUUUAUUUUGGUUGAUCUUUCAUCAAAUAAUUUCCAUAUUUUUUUACUGAAUUUUUUGUUUUUUUUUUUUUAAGUUUUAUUUAUAAGUACUAUGAUUAUGCUUUCAAUUCUAGUCCAUUUCCAUGAUAUAAUUCUUCUUUACAGAAUUUAUUGUCGGUAUUUCUUCUUUGCUCAAGUUUAUACCAAAGUUUAAAGUUUCUGAUUAAAAAAACUAGAGAAAGAAGGAGCAGUUUGGUUAAAAAGCGGCACCGCUUUUUAGCGCCCGUUAAGAAAACAGUGUCUUGAUAUUUAAUGAGAAAAAUUUUAAAUAAAAUAAAUCCUAAUCCUUGCUGUAAAUGAUCAUUUUUUUUCUCUAAUGAUUGAUUAUUAUUAAUUUGCCUGUAGUGACCUGAGCUUCAACAACUUAACUGGUGGAAUUCCAAAUACUUUGAAGAAACUGUUUUUAUCUGAGCUGUAAGUGAUAACUUUAUUGAAUCCCAUUGAUUUUAUAUCUUUUCCUUUUGACUGACAGUAAUAGUGUAAUAAAAAAGAAUCCAAAUAAUUUGUUUUUUCUGUUACUAUUUUUACUUUCCAGGUAUCUUACAGGAAAUAUGCUCAAUGGAACAUUGCCAGACUGGAUUUACAACAAUGUUAAAAAAAAGGGGUAUGCUUUCUAACUAUACAUAAAUGUGAUAAAAUGUUUUCAAACUUGUUCUAGUGUAAACAUUAUUUCCUUUCCCCAUCAAAUUAAACACAUUUUAAAUCAAAGACGCGGGUUAGGCAAAUGAAAAUUUAUGUAAAAAAUUUCAAUUUAGAAUAGUGUAAUGUGCAAAUGUUUUUUUUUUUUUUGAAUGGAAAAUACCUUCAUUUCAACUUAAAGAAGAAAAUAAGUACAACAAGUAGGGAGGGUAUGAACCCAUCCAAACAAUAGUUUCGAGCAUCUCUAGAGCUAGCUUAGCUAAAGAGUGGGCUAUCGCAUUACAAGAUCUAUUAGCAUAUUGGACACAAACUGAGCUAAAGCUCUUCAACAUGUUCUGUACGUCUGAAAUGGUCCAAAAAAUCUCGGAUCUGCAGCCCCGAUUGUUGUUAACUAACUUAACAAUCUCUUGAGCAUCUGAUUCCACAAUCAAAGACUCUAUCAUAGCAUUCCUUGCAACCUGCAGCCCCCAUUCGACUGCUUCUGCUUCUGCUAAACACACAUCACCAUAGAACUUGGAAACUUUGACUGCAGCUGCAAUCACAUUCCCAUCUUCAUCACGAAUCACAGCCCCUAACCCUGCAAUUUGCUUCUUCGAAUUGGUGGCAGCAUCAACAUUAACCUUAUAGAAUCCUUUUUGGGGAGGAUUCCAGGCCUUUAGCAUCGGAGAACUUUGUUUGCCUAUAUGAGUAGCUGCUGGAAUCUGGGUUCUUCGGAAAGCUUCCAGCACAGCUUCAGCCUUAGAGACUGUCACUUGGGGGCUUUCUUUUACUCUUUUAAAAAUCCGUUUGUUGUACUUAUUCAACAAAAUCCGUUUGUUGUACUGUGCAAAUGUUUUGAAGCUUCUUAUUCAAAUGCUAGCUGCAUAUAUUUAGUUAAAGAUAUUAUCGUCCCAAGUCAUGAACAAACUCUAGCCUGCCAGCCUUUUGCAUGCAUCUAGUUAAAUAUAUGAAUGUCCAAAGUCAUGCACAAACUCUAGCCUGUCGUUGUGUUUAGGAAUUCCUAUGCCAUUUUGCAUGCAAAUACAAAUUAAUAAUUAAUGCCAACACUACUUGUCUGAAUUGUCAUCUUGCAUACAAUGAAUUCAUAUUUCCAGAACCAGAGACACACAAGUAAGAAAAUAGCGUUAAUUAAUUAAUUGGUUCCUUUCUUUAUUAAUUUGUUUCUUUGCAGUUGCAUGAUUGCUUAUCCACAUGCAUAAUUUUAUAUAUAUAAAUGAAUUUCAUAAUAAUUUUAAAUUUUUAUCUUGUAGGAAUCUUCCCAACAACAGUUCUCGGAUAAAUGUAACAUAUGCACUCCGAUUUUCUUAAUUAAGUGAGUGAUUUAAUUUUCCUCUUCGCUAUUAAUUUUUUUAUUUCGUCACGACAUUUUAUCGAGAAUAAUUGAGCUUGAUUAUACGCGCCGAUGGUCGGAUUUUAUUUUCGUAACGGGUCUGAAAUUCGCUUAAUUUGUAUUAAGCUUAAAAAAAAAAAAAAAAAAAAAGAGGGGCAGAAUUGUAUAAUUGGAAAGAGGGAAACGGGUUUUCCAUUUUAGAGAGAAAGAACCCGAGAAGAGAGAGAAAGAUAGAGAGAGAAGUCAGACCCGUUGACCCGAGAACCCGACCCAGUAACCCGCGGAUUGACCCGACGAUUUCUCCCAACUCCAGCCACUUUACCGGCCGUGCUUGGUACCGAUCUGAAGCUUGGAAGCAGACCAUCGUAUCCCUGCUGUUAUCGUCGCCGGAAACUGGCCAGAACGCCGGUGAUCGAGCUCGAAAAGUCGCGGCUUCGACCCGUUUUCGUUGCCGUUGAUCCCGCCGGAGUUGUGACGCGCCACCACUUGGAACUGGUUCCUCACAUCCCCAGCAACAUUUCCCGACCAGCCACGACCGCCGGGGACGCCCGGAACUCGCCGAAUGAUCUCCGAAAAUUUGCGGAACUUUGGAACUUCGAUCCGCCGCCGGUAGCGCGCGUGGCGACUCACUGCCACCACCGUUGGAUUCACUGAGGCCGGAACUAGCAGACCUAAGCUCCCCGUCAUCGUUGACUGAAGUCCGGUCACCGUUGACCGGCAGGGGCAAUUCGGUAAAUUCAUGAAACUUUGGGGUGAAUUUGUAAUUUUAUGUAAUCAGUGGACAUUUCGGUAAUUUUAUGCCCUGAGGGUAAUUUCGUAAUUUCGGACAAUGUGAUUAAUUUAUGUAAUCUGAAUUGAGGACAAUAUGGGUAUUAACGAAUAUGAGGAUAAUUUGGUAAAAUCAUGAAGUUUGAGGAUAAGUUGGUAAAAUAUUGAUGUUGGGGUAUUUUGGCAAUUUUGGCCUAUAGGGGCAUUUUGGUAAUUUUAUACAUGUGGGAAUAGUUUAUCGUUAAUAGAUAUUCGUUUCGAGAUUUAUUAUAUUAAAUUGGUUGUAUUUCAAAUUUACGGAGAAUGAUUAUGGUGUUUCCGUGAUUAGGAGGAUCCGCAUCCGCGAACGAGAAUCAACCCGCGGACGUUGUUGAUACUGAGUCUAGACAUCAUCAAUGUGAGUGGAAUAUACAAAACCUAUUUUCAUAGUAUAUGCUGAUUUUCUUAUAUAGUACAGUAUGUUUGAGAAAUAAAUGUUUAAUGCGUUGAUUUAAUGAUUUUCCAGCGAAUUGACUUUUAUUUAUGUGUUGAUAUUUAUUAUGAUUGAGAAUGAGUUCGAUUUAUGAUUUUAUUAGCGUUUUUGAGUAAAAGCAUGAUAUUAGAAUUGAGCAGACUUGAGAUAUGUUGAAUAGAAAGAAAAUGAGAUUUCAGAUGGGAUCAUAUGUUUACUAUCAGUUUUGAAAUCAUUAGACAGUACCCUUCCCUCCAGAUACAGAGAUACAGAUAAAAAGAGAUACAGAAAAGAGAUACAGAUAAGAUGAGAUAGAGGCCUUUGGGGCCCGUCGGGACACACAUAGAGGCUUUGGGCCGUGUGUUCGGGCGCUUUUGCCUUUUGGGGGCUUAUGCAUGCACAGUACAGAUAUAUGAGAUAAGAGAUAUGAGAUAUGAGAUGAGAUCGUCCCCAUCUAUCCGUUGUGGCUCCGGGGCAUGACGUUACCCAGAUAGUGCGUCAUUGCCUGGCCGUUGUAGCCCGGAUAUGAUCAGAUUAUCCCCUGGGUACUUGUUUGAUGACAGUUUUUAGUAUUCAGUAUUUAAUAUGAGUAUGGUGAUUCCAUCGAUUUUAUGCAGAUUUAUUAUUGCAGUUAUUCAAUUUGAAUUAAAUGAGUUUAUGAUAUUUUGAGAAAUUGAUUUGAUAAUUGAUUUACGAAAUUGAAACUGAUUUAAGAAAAGAUUUGAGAAAGAUUAAAUGAUUUUGAAUAAUUUAUUAAAGUAUCAGCACCUACUAUCCACUCACUGAGCUCACUGAGUUUUAUACUCACCCCUCUUUUAUUAUAUUUUUUCCCCCCAUAGGAGAUUUACAGGUACAUCAGUCAACCCAGUAGUGAACGUUAGUUUGAUAUUGUGGUCACGUGAUGGUGCUAGAAGUCGUGGAUUUUAUUAUUAUAUUCGAAAUUUGUGUUAUUAUUUUAUGUUAUUAAGGAUAAUCGUUGUAUUUUAAUAUUCGGAUGAUUUUGGUGAUAUUCGAGAAGUUGGUUAUGGAGGAUGUUUGGUUAUUAAAUUAUUUCGGGAGUGUUAUUUUGUCAUUUGCAGGGUUGGAUAUGUUUUAUUUAUAAGGGAGACUCUGCCGAAAUUUUUAUAGAUUUGUUAUUAAUUCGAUUUUACGAGUUUAGAUAGACUCGCCCUGGGGGAGGUUGCGGGGCGGGUCGUUUCAAUAAAUCUGUAAGAAAAUUAUACUACACCCUAUUAUAUAAUAUUCUCCUACGUUCUUACUCAUUUUCGUGCUGCAAAUUUCAAUUCCAACAGUUUCUGUCUAUCUCGUUUUCUGAUUUUGAUUUUGACUUUCAAUGAACAUGUGAUAUCUGCACGCACACUACUAACAAUAUUGCUGUGCUGUAACCAGUGAACCUAAGAAUCGGUAUGUUCAUAUUCAUUUAUCUAAUAAUUAUAUUAUAGGCGAUUUAUCGAUCGAUCAGCAAGCAAUUAAUUAUUACGUGAAUUAACGCCCUUACAAAAGUAAUUGAACUUAUUAUUGUAAUUAUUUAUAUAGGACAUUUCCGGAAGAGAUUGUGAGGAAGUAUUGCCCCGAUGGCCAGAAGAAAUCUCAGUGUAUGUAUAUAAGGAUUUAUUAAAUUCCUGAAAAACUGUAGUUUAAUAGUCUAAUGGUCGGAAAAACUAUUAAGUUUAUUUUAAUAAAGUGCAGGAGUUUAAAUUAUUUAUAUUUUUUAUUAUUAUUAACUCAUGCACAGAUUGAGACAUGAGCUCCAGGAAGGCUGUCCUUUGCCACCGGAGCUAGACCUUGGUUUCAUAUACAUGUUUAAAUUAAUCAAUGUGUACAUAUAUUGCAGACAAUGAUAAUUUGCAUAUAAAUGCUGGUGGCGAUAAACAUCACAGGGAAGGAUUUUGGUAUGAGGCAGAUAAAUCGACAUCAAAUUUUUAUGUUAACGAACCGGAAUACAACUGGGGAUAUAGCUGUAACGGACAUUUCUAUGCGGAUUCAAUGGCUGAUUCACGUGCAUUUAUACAGAAAGUAACGUGUGGAGCUGCAGUGAUUGAUGCAUCUUUAUAUGACGAAGCUCGCCUUUGCCCCAAUUCUCUCAAAUACUAUGGUUUUUGCCUGCGAAACGGCAAUUACACUGUCAGUCUUUUGUUCUCUGAGAUUGUUUUUGCAAAAAAUGAUGAUUACAGCAGUUCAGCAAAACGUGUAUUUGAUAUAUAUAUACAGGUAGGUACGCUAGCCACAAAUUUUUUUAAUAAUUUUAAUUAGCAAUUUAUCCCUCCCUAGCCUCCUUUAAUUAAUUUUAAUUUCCAUACAUGCAGAGCGAGCUAAUGCGAAAGGAUUUCAACAUAAAAGAAGUGGCCAGGCAUUCAAAUAAUGUAACGAUUCAAAAUUUCACGGCUUCUGUACACGACCAUCUACUGGAAAUCGAGUUAUUCUGGGCUGGCAAAGGAUCUUUAUUAAACCCACCUUAUUUUCAUGGACCUCUCAUAUCAGCUAUUUCUGUAACUCCAAGUACGGUGCAAAGUUGCUCUUUAAUUUUGUUAAUUAUCAUCUCCCAAUAUGCCUUUUGUUGCAUGCUAUCAAUCGCUGUUUAUUUUCAGAUUUCCAAGUCAACCGACCAGGAGGACUAUCUAAAAUAGGGAUAGUAGGAAUUGUACUUGGGGCUGUGCUAGCUUUGAUUCUUUUCUUGGCUCUCAUGUGGAGGUUAGGAUGGAUAGGAGACAGAGAAUUGCGUGGUACGUACGGGAGAUUAUUUAUAUAUAUUGGAAAAAUUUUCAAUUCAAAAUUAAAUCCCAGGAUGGAUUUAUGAUUUCGUAAAUCAAUUUUUACAAUGUUCUAAACUGAUUUACGAUAUAAUAAAUCUAUCUCGAACUUUAAUACUAGAUUUUAAGCUUUGGUAUCAUAAGCACUAUAUAUCUAUAUAUAUGUAUGUAUGUAUGUAUGUAUGUAUGUAUGUGCUAUAUAGAAAUUAUCAGGUGAGGGAUUUGGCACUAUAAUAAAUGCGAGAUGAAUUUUUACAAUAUUGUAAGUUUAGUAGAGUGCAGGACGGAUUUUAAAGUCUGUUUGCAACGUUUUGAAAGUUUGUCUCGUAUUUUAAUUGAGUGCAUAAUCCCACAUUAGAAGCCCACUUUAUGCUAUAUAUGCUAUAGUACUUUAUGCUAUAUUGCUAUAGUAUAAGGCUUAUAAAAGAUAUCAAGAAAAAAUAUAUGUAUAAUUGAUCUGUUUCCUUUCUCAUUUCUUCAUGAAAUACAUAGUGACAACGGUCAACCUACGAGGGAAGUCUUACACCCUUAAACAAGUGAAAGUCGCUACUCGAAAUUUCAGCCCCAGGAAUGUAAUUGGCACAGGGCGUUUUGGGACAGCAUACAAGGUUAAACAUUUAUUUUCCGUAUCUCUCUAUGUGCGUGUGUGUGUGUGUGAGCGUGCGCGUGCAUUCAUGUGUGUACGUGCGCGCGUGUGUGUGAAAGAUUUUCUAAUCUGGAAUUAAAAUUCAAGACGAGUUAACAAUGGUGUGAACAUAUUUUUACAAUGUUAUAAAAAUAUGUUCACAAUGUUGUCAAUUUGUUUUGGGCUUUAAGAAAGUCUGAGAUGCUAGACUAGAUCGCUAAUUAUAUAUAAUAAGGCACCCUUUACUUUUUAAAAUAAGGGAUCAUCUAAAAGAUAAAAAAUACAAAUACCAACCAAACGCGCUACAUUAGAGUGUGUGUUUUACUUGUCUUUUAAUUUAUCUAUUACUUUAACAAAGUAAUGGAUUCCUUAUUAGAAAAAUUUCUCUCUCUCUCUCUCUCUCUCUCUCUCUAUAUAUAUAUAUAUAUAUAGUCACCAGGAUCCUACUUUUACUAAAGUCCAGUAAAGCUAUUGAAAUAUAUGCUUAAAUAAUAUGAUGCCACUAUUAAAUCAUAUUGCUUAAUAGCUUUCCUAGACUUUAACAAAUGCAAGAUCCUUAAUUGGAACAUAAUACUAUGAAAUUGUAUGGCUUAAUGGCUUUCUCAGGCUUUAACAAAGUUUAAGAUCCUGAACUAGAUUAGUACUCUAUAUGUAUGUAUACAUUUAUGUAUAUAAAUUGAUUUUCCUUGUUAGAAAUAUGGUAUAUUAACCCGCUUGCUUGGUGCAAGCGUGCAUUACNNNNNNNNNNNNNNNNNNNNNNNNNNNNNNNNNNNNNNNNNNNNNNNNNNNNNNNNNNNNNNNNNNNNNNNNNNNNNNNNNNNNNNNNNNNNNNNNNNNNGCUUGAUGGGAAUCUGAACGCUAAGGUGUCUGACUUGGGAUUGGCAAAGCUUUAUGACCAAGAAAAUCCAUACAAGUUUAUCCAAGAAAAAGGGACAGUGUAAGUAGCAAAUUAAAUUGAGCAAGCACAAAAUGCAUGCCAUCUUGCACAAGCAAAUAUCAUUAAUUAAUUAAUUAUGGUCGCAUGCAGAGUAUACAUGGCACCAGAGUAUGCAAUGCGGAAAGCAAUAAUAGAAAAAGUUGAUGUUUUCAGUUUUGGAAUUGUUCUGCUUGAAAUAAUUAGCGGGCAGACAAAUGCCAAGUAUGAAGCAAACCAGGAGACUGAAUUUCUUUUGGAUACGGUAAGAAGACAACAACUAGAGUCAACUUUCAGUUCGGGAAUCUCAAAUUUUAUAAAGCUCUACACAAUACCAUUUUCAUGGUUUACAGAAUCCUUCACUUCAAAAAUUCCAGGAUUCCCAGAUUGAAAAUAUCUCCUUUAUAUGCAUAAAAUAAGGUCUUAAUUUAAUUUGCUAACGAUGUCGCAUGGCAUGGGAUAUAUGGAUUAUUUAAUAAAUAAAUAAUGUAUACUGUGCAGGCCAUUGUGUUGCAUUCAAAGGGAAGGCUUUCUGAAUUGGUCGACAAGCAAAUGCCAAAUGAGCAUGUAGUGAUGAAGCAAGCCAAAAUAAUCUUGGAGUUGGCAAUGAGAUGCGUGGAUCAGUCGCCUACUCUCAGGCCAACUAUGUCUGAAGUUUUGAGCGAGCUUGAGCGCAUCUCUAAUUAGAUCUGAACUGCUCAGGAUUCUAUGGUUCCACGUGGAUCCUUAUUGAACUCUGGACUGGAAUGUCUUGGUGAAGGUUAAGCCUAUAUACUACGAUUAUGCAUAUGUAUGUACACCGGGCAUUAUCUUAUGUUGACGGUGCACUGCUGCUUUCAAAUAUAUAUGGGUCGCUAUAAUGCUGUAAACUUUUAACAGCAUUAACAAUGUAAUAAAUGUAUACCAUUAGAUUUAAUUACUCUAAUGCAAUAUUUGUGUUAAAGUAAAAGAUAUCUUAAUUAAUAAUUAUUUUAAACGGUUAAGAAAGUGUGGUCAUUUUUGUAAAAUUAUUACAACCACCCUUAUAAUUUGAAACAAUUGUACUUGAAUAAUAUUUUUAUUUAAAUAUCACUUUUAAAACAUAUUUUUUAAAUAACUUGCAAUUAUAAGAUUUAUAUAUGGUCUAAUUCUAAUAAACAACACAACUAAAUAUGUACAUUUAAAUGAAUAUCAUAAUUUUUUGAAAAUAAUGUUUCAAAAUUUAUUACCAAUGAGCAUGUAAGAUAUGAUAUCUAAUAGAUUAUCUAACACAAAUUGUAUAAAUAACUUGCAAUUAUAAGAUUUAUAUAUGGUGUAACUCUAAUAAACAACACAACUAAAUAUGUACAUUUAAAUGAAUAUCAUAAAUUGCAUAAAUAAACUUUUAAGUGAGGUUGAUUGUAUUUUAUAUAUAUUAGGACCUUUGUAUAACUGAACUGAAACAUAUAUUACCUUUGAAACCCAUUUCUCAAAUAUGCCAAGCUCAACCCAGGACACGUAGGCUCGGCUUGGGUUGGGUUUUCCUACUAUCCCUAUUGCCAAGUGAUGUACUAUAUGGAAAAUCCCCACAUGAAAUGCUUUUUGAUGUACCGCCAGAACUAUCUUGCUUAAGAGUUUUUGCUUGCUUGUGUUUUGAUAAGAAUUUAUAGAUUAAAAAUAAAUUUGACCAACAUGUAAAAGGGAUAUCAUAUUACAACCCAUGUAUUAUAUGCAAAUUCUAUUCAGUUCUAAGUACGAAUUUGAUUAUUGUUUUUUACUUUAAUGAAUAUAAAUUAGGGUUGGGUUGUUUAAACCCACCAUAGUACAUUAUACACCCACUUUUCCAUAAAAAAAAUAAUUACGAAAUGUCCAUGAGUUAAAUUACUAUUAUAUCUUAAUGAAAUUAGCCUAUCCUCUCCGACAUCUAUAUAUGAAUCCAAUUAACUUAAAUUGAUUUUUCUACAAAAAGAGUAGCAGAGAGCAAUGUUUUAAUUUCGUUUCAUUUUCUUUUCACCUAUAUUCUUCCGAGUACACUUUUAUAGCUAUAUUUUCUUUUAAUGUGUGACAUUGUUGGUUAGCAAACUUCUACCUCUUGGAUUCAAUCCCCUUUCAACUCAAAUAUGUUUCUCAACUAGAGAUAUAUUUAUUUUUAGAAUCAAUUAAGGAGCAAAGAGAAAAUAAAAUCUGAAUUUUUUUUGGCUUUUCUUACAUUUAUGAUGCAAUCAUGCAAUUAGUUCCAUUAAACUAAUUAGAAAAUGUGUUCGAUUGAAUUCAUUACAUGUUAUGAAUCUUGACAAGGAUUAGACAAUAAAUUAAAAAUAAAAGUCAUAUAAUCAAUCAUAAAGAAAACAAAUCAUGCGAGAUGGCUAAGCCAUUGAUAUUUUAAUUUAUUGUUGGGUAUGAUUCAAAUAUACUUUCAUAGCCUUAACGUACUUUCCCAACAGGUGAUUUUGUAUUUCUAGGGAUAAAACAUUUGAAAGUAAUUUAGUAAAGGUAUAUUCGCAAUGAGGUGGGUUUAUAAAGUAAAAAUUUCAUAUGUAAGAGAGGUUUAUUGAGAGAAUGUGUUGAAAGAGUAUUUUAAUGGGUUCUAAUAGCCUUAUCCUAUAUAUUAAUAUCACUAAGGGAUUUUACCAAUGACCCAUCAAAGAUGUAUUAGUGGAAUUAAUUAGCAGGUGCUUCGUUUUAUAUUCAUAAGACCUGUGACUUGUGUAUUAUUACUACAUUGUAUGUUAGAAAAAUGAAGAGGACUAACUUGCUCAAUAUUACAAUUAUUUGGGCAAUAGAAGAAUUUGUUAAACUGAAGGACUUUAUUGAUAGUUUACAAGAAAAACGCUACAACACUCACGGGUCACUCGUCUUUCUCACUACUAAUUCUUCACUCUUUACUUGAUGCCUACAACAAAGAGCUUUAAGGAUAUUUGUAGUAACUUAAAACUAAUAUAAACCACACAAAUAUCAAAUUGCAAAAAUUUAAUAACCUCAUUUUACAAAUAUCACCAAAUAUUCAAGAACAUUCUAGAUUUAGAUAUUUUUACUUCUAUUUGAUAUUUUUUAAAUUAGAGUCAUCUCUCAUUUUCUACACAAUUCUUGAAACUUCCAUGGAUUAAACUUUGAAACUGGGAUUGGCUAAGUAUAAUUGGAUUAGAUCAUGACCCAACACCAACUUUCAUUCUUUGAUCCAUAUUUAGCUGUUGCUGGAACUCUUGAAACUUUUCGAUACUAAGACCUUUUGUAAACAAAUCCAAAACUUGGUCAUCCAUCUUGAUGUAUAACAUUUCAACUUCAUCUUACAAGACCUUUUCCCUGAUGAAGUGAUAGUGCACCUCCACAUGCUUAGUUCUCUGUUAAGCUGAUAGUCGAUUGGUUAUCACAAUACAAUGAUAUUGCGUAAUCUACUAGUUGGUGUAGCUCCUUCAUCAACUGCGUCAGCCAAGUGCUUUCUUGAGCUGUCAUCACUACUACUCUAUACUCCACUUAUGUGGUGACAAUGAUAUUGUUGGUUGUCCUUUACUACACUAAGAAACUGUUCCAGACCCAAUUCUAAAAAUAUAUUCAGUAGUUGAUAUUCUUGUAUCAAGAUCUCCAGCGUAGUCAGCAUCAUAAUAGCAAGUCAUCUUGUAACUUUCACUUUCUUUUACAAUAUACCAAAGUUGAUUGUAUUUUUCACAUAUUUUAGUAUUUGUUAAACCAUUUCCAAAUAAACCUUCUUUGGAUUUUGCAUGUAUAAGCUUAUUACACCUAUUGCAUAUGAAAUGUCUGAUUGAGUCAACGUUAAGUAGAUUAAACUUUUUACGAAUUGUCGAUACAUCGUUUCAUGUUGUAAAUCUUUGCCUUCAUGUGUGCAAAAUUUUGCAUUGACUUCCUUUAUAGUUGAGAUUGGCUUGCAUUCUAACAUUCCAAACUUUUUCAACAAGUUUUUGGCAUAUUUCUGUUGGCAAAAGAAUAUCCCCUCUUCUAUUUGAUCAACCUCCAUACUAGAAAAGUGCUUAAGCUAACCAAGUUUUUUCAUCUAGAAAUGAACUGAUUAGUUCUCCCUUUGCUCGCAGAAUCUCUUCUCCAUCGUCACCAGAAAUAAUCAAAUCAUCCUCGUACCCCAGUAUAGUUGUUAACUUUCCUUCAGUAGCUUUGACGAAUAAGCUUGAGUCUACAUGUGCUACUGCCACUCUAAGUUAGAAAUUCGACAAUCUUACCAUACUAUGCCCUUGGUACAACCGUAUAAUGCCUUUCUUAUCUUGCAUACAUACUUCGAAUGAGCUUGAUUCUCAAAACUUCUUAGUUAGUUCAUGUAGAUCUCUCGAUCCAAUUCUGUGUAGGAAGACAUUUUUUACAUCUAUCCAUCAUAAUUUCCUUUCUUUGCUAGCUGCGAGUACAUGUAGAACUCUUGAUGUUGUGAGCUUUACCAUCAGACUAAAUGUUUUAUCAUAGUCUAGCCCGUAUUGUUGUGAGAAUCCUCGAGCUACCAACCGAACUUUGUGUCUUUCAACUGAACCAUCUGGGCAAUUUUUAAUCUUGUACACUCAUUUGCAAGAUAUUUUAUAUCCUUUAGUUUCGGAACCAGAUCCCAAGUUUAGGUAAAUCAAAUUUUUAAAUGUAUGCUAAGUUAAAAGACUCAGAAAGUCACGUCAAUGGAUCCAAAUUUGAUUCAGAAGCUUGUUACUAACCUCAAAACUUAGAUGAUAGUGACCAGAUAUGUAAACAAAGAGGCAUCUCACAAAAGCCGAGAUGCACAACAAUUGAAAACAUAGCUUUCAUGAACAAACUUUUGGGGAUCUCAUGCGGCAGAGCAGGUGUGUUGGCCCACCAAUGAAACAGAUAACUGCUUGAGUAUAAAGACAUUUGAUUCUUAACUAAUUACGAGUAGCACCAAUAAAAGAGCAGCUAUGAAGUGGUUCGUAAUUUAACCAUUGGAACCGAGCAACAUAGUUAAAGAUUUUUCUUCGCACUACCAUGUGCAUGUUUCUCUAGUUUAAAAAUAAUACUGCAGAAAAGUAAAGUCUAAUAAUCACUAGAAGUAACUAGUCUAAUAUUUGUGAAAAGUACAACCCAUUUAGACACGCCAUACUAACCUGAGAGAAGAGUGUGGCAGCUUGGCAAGUGUCCACCAUUAUCAGCAACUCCUUGAAUCUAAUUUUGUGAUAAGACACACAAGCUCAUUAUUAAGCAGGAUCAUAAAUGUAUAAAUGUAAACGGCCACCAAAAUCUACCAUAAAUGAUUAGCAUUUCAUAUCGGCAUUUUACAUUGAGAAAUAAAUAUGUUUCAUCUAUGCACCAUCCAAAAUGGCAGAACUACAGGUCUAUAAACCCUUUUACUUUCAUUCUUAUGGUUGAAUGUUACUGUUAAAGGCAAUAGGCAUGAAAGCAGAAUACAAUCUCACCUGUGCUUUUCUUUCAUUUACUUCACUGCAUCUGCUAGAUCAUGACUUUGGAGCUCUUCUGAGUCCUGAAAUUUUAAAAAUUCAUCUCCCCCAUGACCCGUCAUGUAUAGAAGAAUAUGGCUUCCUUCAUCACUUAAAAGACGCUUUGAUCUAGGAACAGCAGCCUCGUGACGCCCGGUCAAAACUCUUAAAAAGUUUUCAACUGUCACUUCAUAACCACGAUAGUCUACCUGAGUGAUUGAAGUUUAGUAAAAUGACGAUCUGCUAAACUUUAAUUUCCCAGAAGCAAGGCAUGUUCAGUAAUUAUACACCCUUAAAUUUAAAUUCUUGAUUGACUGUCUCCAUAAGGUGUUCAUUGAAAGACUUAUAAGGAGACGGCACCCCCUUUCAAAACCUAAAGACCUAAGCAGAGUGUCUGGAGAACACAGUACAAACCUCGACAUUAUCUCCAUACAAAUUAAGUUUGUGGUUCUCGUUAUUGAAAACUUGUGCAGGAUACUUGUUUCUAGCAUUACAAGCCAUGUCAUCUGCCAGCAUAAGUAUUAUCCUCUCAUCGGGUAUUCCUAGCCGCUUAACUGUUCUGAAAAAUCAAGUUAAAGUGCACAGUCUACAAAUGAAAAGAGGAGGGAAGAGAAAAGCAAAUUACUUCACAAGACGAUGCGAAAACAACAAACUAAUCGCUUACCUAUACAAGGAUAAUGUAUUAGCCAUUUGUCGAUAAUUGAACCUGAACAAACCAAUUCAGUGAUUAAUUCCAUUGGCAAGGACAUGGAAUCGGUUUUUAGUCCAUCAAAACAAUGCCAUUUGACGUGGCAAUAGAAGUUUAUGAAUCCAAGCAAUAGAAGCUUGAAGAAUCAAGCUCAUCAACAAUAAUGCAGUAAUAUUAGCUGAAACUCAGAAAUUACAACACAAGAAAGAGAAAUUGGACCAUGGGUAUUGUUCAUCAUCAACAUUGUUAGAAAUGGGGUAUAAUUUAUAAUGAAACGGGAAAGCUUGAAUUCUUCCAAAAAUUAAAUCAAAAUCGGGAAAAAAUAUAAAAACUGAAAAUAAAAUAAAAUGAAAUAAAAUAAAAAUGAAGGUGAUUUAGUUACCAGAAGCGAGAAGUGCAAACCAAGACAGCCCAAUUGUUAGUGUGCAUAGUUGUCUCAGCUGAAGCUCUGUACGAAGUCGAACUGGAGAGAAUCAAAAGCAACAGCAUCGCCGCCAAACUUUUGAAACCAAAUGAAUUGUACAUCUUGUACCGGACCAUCAUUUUCUCGCGAAUUUUAAUUUUCUGGGUGGAAAACUUAAAACUGUGAUUUAAAUUUUAUUCGUUUUUGCUGAGGAUGAAAUCUAUUGUUGCAGUUUCAGUGACGCAAACAGUGCUCCAGCCGGAUCCACGUCCCGAAGUUGAAAAUAGGAUACAAAUUUAAAUUUAGCCCCGUUUGAUGUGGAAAUUGAAAUUGAAUAAAAUGUUUAUUUUAUAAUUUAUGAUAAAAUUUGUAUUUGGUAAAUUUUAUAAAAACUGCUAUUUUUUUUUUGUAGAGAAUUAUUUUUCAUAAACAUUUUAUUAAAUAAUCUAUUAUACAUUAAUUUUUAUUAUAAUCUUAAUAUUUUUAAAAAAUAAUUAUAUCUUAUUUUUUCAUACACCAUAAUAUUAAGCCGUUAGAUAUCAUAUUACUACCACAAUCAAAUUACAGCUACAACUAGUGUAUAUUCUUUCUAGUAUCAAAGUUUUAAUCUAGUAAGUUCAUAUUUUUUUAUAUUUUACUUGUAUUUCCUAUUAUAAAAUUAAAAAAAGUUUGCAUAUAAUUAUGUAAAUUUUUUUGAACUUUGAACAAUUUCACAUGAAUUAACCAUAACUUUUAAAAUUAAUUUCAUAAACUUGAUUUUUAAUAUUCAAUCUAUUUAUAUUUUUUCCGUGUUUAUUACAUCAUUUUUAAUAUUAAUGUAAUGUAUAUUACUUUUUUUUAUCUAGAUUACGUAUAUAAUAAAUUUUUUUUUUCAGUUUAUGUCAUUUUACGUUUUUUUUUUAAAGUUAUGUCUAAACAUCAUUAAAUAUAAUAAAAAAAUAAAAGAUAAUUUAAACUUACGUAUGUUUUGGUUAUUAUAUAAUAAAACAAUACAUUUAUAAUAAAAUUAAGCAAACACACGUACAUUACUUUUAAAAUUUACAGCAACUGAGACAACACAGCUUACUAAACAUCAAGCAGCUUUUUUAAUUAGCUGCUUAUUGCAUCCGUAUAGUAAAAGCAACUUAUUUAAUUAACAAUUGCAAUCCCAAAGUGGGUCUUUGUCCUCGUCCCAUCUCGUAACCCGAAAAAUAAAUUAUCUUUAAGCCACCAAAACUAUUUGAAAAUUUUGGGGCAAUGGAAAUGCUAUUUCAACAAAAUCAAAAGAAAUUAAUUUUCCUAUGUCGGAUGGACACGGAGUUGGUUCGGUUUAGAAUUAAUCCAUAAUUUGGUUCCCCCUUUUUUUGGUUUUUUAAAGUUCAUUCAUUUGUAUUUUGUGAUUUUUUUUAUAUUACGUUUACUAAUUCUUAAUUGGAAUGGAUGGAAUCAGAAUGUUAAUUAAUAAUAAGAAUAAUUUUUUUUACUUUACUUAUAGGAAUUGGAAUCAAAAUGAGUUGUAUUACUAUUAAUCUGUUUAUUUUGUCUUGGAAUCAAAAUAGAUUAUUACAAGUUACUAAAAUAACCUAAGUUGAUUAUUUUCAUUAUUUAUUAUAAUAAUUGUGAUUAUGAUUAUUGUCAUUCAAUAUAAUUAUUGUUAAUAAUAAUAAUAAUAAUAAUAAUGACGACAAUGAUAUAUUAUUAUUAUUACUACUACUAGUAGUACUAUUAUUAUUGUAUUACUAAUGAUAAAUAAUUUAGGACUUAUUUGCAAGUGGCAAAAAUUAAUUAGGGUAAUUUAAAAAUUAUAAAAAUUUAAUGGGGGUAAAAUAAAAACUUUAAGGAAAGGAAACUUGAUUCUCAACAUUCUUUAAUAGUUAAUUCAAAAAACAUAUGGGCCUCAUAUAUUUCAUUCUCAUUCCCACUUCUAUUUUAACAAAUAAACGCUAUCAAUCAUUCUCAUUUCAGAUUCUAAUUCAUCAAUCUUACAAAUAAACACACCUUUAAUAUGAACUGAUCAAUUUUUAUUGAUUUUUAUAACCAAACCACAUCAAAUUGAAUCGUUGGUGCCGUUUGGUCUUUUAGUGGGCAUAGAUUUUUUUUGUCCACCCUUGUCCAUGCCUAUAAAGAAGGGUUUUAUACUCCAUAUUUUUAUACUUGAAAAUGAAUAUAAUAAAAGUAAAAACAGCACGCUUGAAUGGGUUGAAUAUCUCUAUAUUUUGUGUUUUUAUUUCUAUUUAUGUGCACUUUGUUAUUUAGUGAAUCUCAAUUAGUAACAAAUUACCCACCAAGUAAUUUUUUUUUAUUACAUCCAUUUUCAUCUCUUUAUUAUACAUAUAUAUUCUUUAAGUAAUAUGAUGAUAAUCCGACUUCUUUCACACUAAUACGAACGAGAUUGGAACCUCAUACUUUAAUACAUGCUAUCAUAAAAAAUUUUACAAAUCGAACAACUAAGCACUCACAAGUUUUUGUUUCACUUACCUUGAAUAAUAUAUCAAGUAAAUGAAAUAUAUUUUUUAACAACCCUAAACUAUAUAUGUCGUCAUUUUCAUGAAAGAAUUGAUCAAAGCACAAUGAGGAUGCCAUUGGUGAUGCAAAAUUGCAAAUGAGAGGAGAGAUUCACACCAAAUGCCUCUAUUUUGAUGAUAAGUGUUAAAAAUGAGAAUUUUCCAUCUCUUGUGCAUCAAUCAUUAGCAUUCGUCAUCACUAGUCAUUCACGUUCGAAUUCUUUAGUGGCCUCAUUUAAUCUAAUAUACGAUAUGGAGACCAUAUAAAUUAAAUUAUUUAAUAUGAAAUUAAAGAAUGUAGGGUGUCUCCUCCCCUUGUUAUUUUUGGUUUACUAUGUAAUGAUGCUUAUGGGAUUGUACACUCUCGUUUAGUAUUGCAUUAACUCUUCGUGAGCCCUUCUUUAAUAAAUAAUAAAAAAAAACAUGUAGGGUGGGUGUAUAAUAAAGGAAGCGGGAGUUAUGUAAUAAAAAAAAAAUUACUUAUUUGUAGAAUUGACUUGAAGAUAAAGGGGCAUGUGAAUGAUGUCAGGGUUGAGCUUAAAAAAAGCCCAUAGGAAUGGUCUUCAUGGCUCAAAUACCUUACGUAGCCCACUUAUAAAAUUGGGCCUUCAAAAGAGUUUCAAGUCCACUGUUGAACUUGUUCAUCUUCAUCCUGCCUUGUGACAUGUUUUGGUUUUUUUUUUUGGGUUAAUCUCUCUGAUUCUUUUUAGUUUUUUUUUUUAAAUAGAAUUUUAUGCUAACUAGUAUUAUGAAUAUUCCUAUUCAAAUACGUACAUGGGUAAAGUGGAAUACCUAACACUCGGUAACAAUGAAAAUAGUAAUAUUAGUAAUCAUUUGACAAGUUUCAGUUUAUAAUCUAAUAUGUACCCUGGUGCUUAGGUUCAGAUAUUCAGAUGAAUUUAAAAUACAGAGUUAAAAGAUAAGAAAAAUACGAACUAGAAUGCACUAUUUUUGUAUUUAGUGUAUCGAAGUUUAUAUCUUCUUUUUCUUUUUUAAUCUUUCAACUCCAUCCUGAUAAUUUUAAAAUAUGAAUGUCAGCAAUUAAGCAUGACUCAUCAUAUGCUAUAUUAAUUUAAAUAUACAUUUUGCAUUAAAAACUAAACAAUACUAAAUUCUAGUUUGUAAUCAAUCCUUCUAAUAAAAAGACUUGUUUAAUAUAGUAGUAAGUAUCCCGCAACACCAUCAUUAUGAGUUUUAAUUUGACUUUUAAGAAGGGACAAAGAUCCUCUUUUAAUAUUUUUUCCCCUAAUCUUUUCAAGUGAAAUAAGUGGUUAAGAUUGAAUUUUAAAAUUUGAUAUUGACAAUCAAGCCAAUUUUUUUUUCACUUUAUUUAGAAAUAAAUUUAUAAAUAUUGAAGGACUAAGAGAAAUUAAAAGAGAUUGAAAAAAAAAAGGAGAGAAUCCUAAUCCUUGAAGAACAAACCCAAAUUCUCUAUCGUAUCAAAUGAAAAUUCAAAUGCAAAAUAAAGAAAAAUGAUAGGUAAAAAUCAGUGCUCUAAAAGUGAGCGGAGAAUUGAUUCUUCUUCCCUUACUUUAUAAAGAGAUGGUGCUAAUAAUAAUAUACUUAAACAAAGUUGUAGUAGGGAAUAAACACAGCAUGCUAAAGCCUAAUAAUAACUAAUAAUGGGAAGGGAUGCAGCCUGCCGUAGCAUGAAAUUGAAAUCAGCCUAAUCAGGCUAAUCAAUAUCUUGUGUGGCAGUCUUUAGCACCUUCAUGCCAUCUUUUAUCUGCUUACUUUUCCUAUGAAGAAAAAAGAGAGGAAAAAAAGGCAGAUUUUUAGCCACCAAUCAAAUUCAUCUUGACAAGGGGAAUUUUUCAGAUUGAAGCAACGACUAACCUCUGAAUCACGUAGUAUAGGCAUAUCCUUGAGCAAAACAUUCCAAUCAAGAAUUAAGUUUGGCAUAAACUUUAAACAUAGACCCUCAAGGACCCAUGUGGUGCCAUUGCUAUCCUGAUCAGAUUCAGAACUGAUUUCGAAGUUGCUGAUGUCUUCAUCCUCAAGACAGAGAUAUUGCAGGCUUGAGAGGUGCUUAAGAUUAAUCCAUUUUGGCAGAAUUUCGUGGCGGUAUCGCCUGAGGUAAAGCUCCUGAAGGCUCGCAGGAGGCAAAAGCCUAUCCAACAUCUGUGAUGCUUGUUUUUCUUUACAAUCCUCUGCAUCAAUAGCUAAAACUUUGAGUUUCUCGAGCUGUGAUAAGACAUUCCAUUCAUCUUCCGAGAUUUCACUCUCAUUAUUUACGGACAUUCGUAGAACUCUUAGCUGCUUCAGUCCCAGCAGGGCGUUAAGUCGACAGCCUUGUGUGUUAGACUGACUCUCCACCCGAAAUCCAGACAGCUCCUGGAGAUAAAUUAGCUUCUCGAGUCCGCGAGGUAGAUACUGGAGAGGACAAGAUCCGAGGUCCAAGAUGAUCAACUUCUUCAAACUAGUAAUUGAUGGAUGUAGUUUGGUGCACCUCCUCAGAACAAGUAUUAGGAGAUUACGAAGCUUUUGAAUUGAAGAUGGGGGCUCAAUAUUGCCUGCAACUCCGCUUAAGUUGAGACAUGCAAGGCGUUUAAGUGAAGAGAUCUUAUCCAAUAGAUCCUCAACAUUAAUUCGAUCAAGCUUACAGUAUGAGAAAUCCAGCACCCUCAGUGACAUGAGCGAUUUCACAUUCCAAAGGGAAACUGGAGUGCUUGAUUGCAGUAUCAAUGCCCUGACCCUUGAACUUUUUUUCAGGGAUUUUGGAUCCAUGUCACGGUUGAAACCGAACCAUCGCGAGUCUUGUGUCAAUUUCUGCCUGCCUUGUUCAUCAAAGCUGCAAAAAGCCUCAUCUUUUGCAAUCUGAAUGGUCAUAUCCCUGACCAGAUCGUGCAUCUUGCAACUAUAGACCCUGCCAUCAUAGCCUCUUCGAUGCACAACUUCAACCAAGCAUCUGCUUACUAGCUCUGAAAGGUAAUCAAAGCCUAAUUCCGUAGCAGUCCGAUUGUCCCUGCCCCGGAUGAGUCCUUCUCCCACCCACCAAUGUACCAUCUGUUCACCACUUAUCUCAAAGUCGUCGGGAUAAACAGAGAAACACAAGAGGCACUGCUUUAGAUGUGUGGGGAGUUCAUCAUAGCUCAGUCGUAGAGAAGCCACCACCGAAUUGUUCUCUCUUUCGGUUGUCAAAUAUACAUGAAAAUCAUCAUUGAUUUUAUUCCACUCACUAAGGGAAUGGACUUUUGGAGCAAGCAAGCCUCCUAUUGUCUUGAUUGCCAGCGGUAGUCCCCCGCAUUUCUUCAAGAUCUCUCUGCCUUUUUUUUCAAACUCCUUAUUGGGGCAUUUUCCCUUGCUCGUUAAAAAUGCAUGCUUGCAGAGUAAUGACCAACUCUCCUCUUCAUUUAAAAUUUUUGGGCGAUGAAUUCUUGACUCAUCAACUGCCAUACUGUUGACAACGGUUUCAUUUCUAGAUGUGAUGAUAGCGAAGCAUCUUUUUUCAGUCGGAUAUAAAUUCUUCCACCAAUCUAGAUUCAUUCUCCACACAUCAUCCAUUACAAUGAGACAGGUCUUGUCACUGAGCCUCUGUUGAAUUUUGUGCAGCAAAUAACUUUCCUCAAUUCCCGAUUCAUCCUCUCCCAGCUGUUGCAACAUGGCCCUCAUGACUCGUUCUUCGCAGAAAUUCUGAGAAACUGGCACCCAUAUCCUCUUCUCAAAGUAUGCAACCAUCUCUCCAUCAUUGAAUAUCUUUUGGGCAAUGGUGGUUUUGCUUAAACCACCCAUACCCACAAUACCGAUUUGCUGAAGCUUCUCAGUACUGCUAAGGAUCCACCCUUUAAUCUUUCCAAGUCCUUCGCCAAACCGAUUAUUUCAGAUGGUUCCCGGUCCUCUCGGGAAUAUUUAAAUAUUUGGUAUGAUGAAUUAUUAGGCCCCUGCUGGAUGAUUGGCUGUUCUGCUCUUCCAUACUCCCCCAAGCUAGACUCCAUUUUCUCAAUCCGUGAAUUGAUAUGCUUCAAAUCCUUACCUGUUUGGUAUAUGAAAAACAAGUCACGAAGUGAGAACCUGUGGCAAAACCCAUCUUUCCGAUAUUCAUCUCUAAUUUGGCAAUCCGUCAUUAUGUCAUCAGCUUCAUAAAUUAUUUUUCUCAGGCUAGGCAAGAUCUUCUGCAUGAACUCCCCCCGAGUUUUCUACUUAUCAGUGCAGGAGAUGAAGGCAGUCAUUAGCUCAAGCUUUGUCUUCAUUGCCUCAAGCUGAUCUUUAAAAUCAAGUGCGCACUGAGCUUGAGUCAGCAAAGCAGAAAACACUUUCUCUAUCAAUGUCCCAAUCAUCGCCUCUGUCGCUUUCGACGCCGCCAUAUCCUCGGGCAAAUGUUCCCUGUUAAUUUCAUGUUCAUUAUCAUCUCAGUAAAGUAUACAUCUAUGAGCUCGUAUGGGCUUCUGCUACAACCAUACAAUCAUGUCACACAUAAGGUACAGAUGGCAGAAAUGAGACUAGCACUUUCAGUACUAGGAGGGACAAGACAAAAUAUAUAAUGGAUUCAUCUCACUUCCACGGGACUUGACAGAACAUCUAUCAGAAUAGUGAAGUCACCCAACAACAUUGAUCAGAGUAAAAUUGUGUCAUAUGCGUGAAUCGACAGAAUGAUACUAGUCAGAACAUAAUGAUGUAUCGGACAAAAAACUGAGAAUUGAAGCUAAAGUCUAGCUCACUUUCUUAGGACUCAGGUUUUACGUUCGAGCUUCAAUAGAACAAGUUCCGAAUAAAUUCUCUUGGUAACCAAGGAUCAAAUACAAUAAUUAAUUGCUAAGGUCGCUCCAGUAGUAAAAGCGACUUUCCUAAGACUCAGGUCUUAGCUUCGAGCUUCAAUAGAACAAGUAACGAAUUGGUUCUCUGCGUAACCAAGGAUCCAAUACAAUAAUUUAUUGAAAAUAUAUUUAUCAUAACUUUAAAAUUAAGUGAUACGACGGCAAAUAUUAACUUGAUAAAAGAUCAUCAUCAACCAUCAAAUUCUAUAAACAAGUUUUAGAAAUUUUCAUGUUUAAAUUCACAUCAAUCAGAGAUUUAGCAAUGGCAUGGGUGAAUCAUAAAAGGGUUUUAAGCAGAAGCACUUACUGGAAUCCUGAAAGUGUGUGUAUCUAUAUAGAUUGGCUGGGCUGAACAGAGAGUAUGCUGGAACCUGAAACCCAAAAACAGAGUACCAUGUAAUCAAAUUAUUUUUAUUUCUACUUUUAAUUCCUUGCUGGCUGUUCAACGUUUUAGUUCGCUUAAUCACUCACUAGCUCCUAUCUGGCUCUGCUAAUUUGAUUUAUGUUGCCGAUAUUUAUUAUAUAGGAGAAGAGAUGCCAGAAUUGAUCAAAUAACAAGCCACCUGCACUUUGUAUUUUGAGGGUACAAGAAAAGAAGGUGAAAAAUAUUUUGAAUGAGUAAUUAAAGUGGAAAUGGUUAAAGUUGAAAGCUGUUGGAAUUUGGAGAUAAGAAGCAUUUUUAUCCUCUUCUCUUCACAACAAUCAAAUUUUUUUUAAUUAAAUAUCAUAACAAUUAUAUUUUUAAUUUUAACAAAUUAUAAAUUUAUGAUUUGAAUGAGACUACAUAGUUGCAUAAGAAUUUUAAGAAAAAAUAUUAUCUUAGUAGUUUAUGGAAAUCAUUAAUUUAGACCUUUAGCCCAAGUUGGGACUAUGUAAAAUUAUUAUAUAAUAGAGUUUAUUAACUUAUGUGAGUAUUAAAUUGUUGUGGAUUUACUAUAUUAACCUAAGUGGUGAUCUUAUUUGCAGUACUAGAGAUGUUUUGAUGGUAUAGUUAAUGGGAGAAAGAAGUAUUGCGGUAAAAAGAGUGCGUGAAAAAAUCAGCUGUAAUAUAGUAUACAAUUAUUUUGUCAAAAGUGAUUUUUAAGAAAAUUUAUCAAACAGUAAAGUUAACUUUUAAUUUUAAAAAUUAUUUUUGAGCCUUCUAACAGAAAUUUCAAACAAAUCCCAAAUAUUUUUAAAUAACCAAGUAUAACAUUACUUAUAAAUAAAUUGAAGUGGUAGGUUAUUCUGUCCCAACAGUCAUUUCAAGGCCAGUAUAUCACAUACAAGCAGAAGGUUCUGUAUCGAUUCCUCUCAGUUGUUUGAAUGCUCGAAUGUCUGAGGUCACAUACCAUCAAUAAAUAGUUUACUUAUCAAACAAAGAAGAACUUUUUCAAAAAGCAAAAGAAAAAAAAAAAGAAGACUGAUAAAAUCCUGAGAAUAUAUGCUUUUUCUUUGCAGGUGAAUUCGUAUUCAAAGGACCCGAUAAAGCCUGAAAAUAUUAAUUGAUACUAUUCUUGUUGAAUUUUUAAAAGGCAUGAAGAACAAUUAUAGGCUGACAUUAUUGAUGUAACCCAAAAUGAAGAGAAUCAAAAUAAAACAAGAAAAGGGAAACUGCUUUAUUCACAAUAGGAAAAUAAAAGUACAUAUAUUCGUCACAAAAGUCAAAAUCAAUAUUUGUUUUUUGAUAUUUCUGCCAAAAAGAAGAAUAAAUAAAGAGGUUUAAAAGUUUAAUGAUUAUUCUCGGUCGAAGCAAGGAGUGGUUAUGUUCGAAUUAAAAGUUUCAAUUAGAUUAAAUAUGAAAUUGAUUCUCAAAACAAAAUUUUAUACUGUUUUCAAGUUCUUCAAAUAUUUUUAUUUUACUGACCAUUUGAAUUCAAGAGACUAAAAAAAUUAAUUUUCGUUUUGUGCACCCCCUCUAUCUUUUACAGGUGGGGUAAAAUUUUGAACAAAGUCUAUAGAAUUUGUGGCUUUGUUACAAAUAUGGCCAGAUUUUGGUCCGAUUUUGCUUUUAAGCCUUUAAAUGAUCUUUAUUUAUUUAUUUAAGAAAUUUUAAGAAUGUUUUCAUUGAUUUUUUUUAUCUUCCGUCUAGUUUUUGGAAUUAAGGAUACUUUGUUUCAUUUAUUUAUUUUUAAUUUAUGGUAGGUUAGUAGUAAUCUGAUAUUAAAAAUUCGUGUUAUUGCAUUCUUCAAUGUUUCAUUGAUGGUUUAUCUAAAGGUAAUCCAGGUAGCUCAAUUUGUGGUGGUGUUUUUUGAGAUUACACGGGAUCUUUUUAGGUGCUUUUGGUCUUUCUGUAGGCAUUAACACUGCCUACUUUGCUGAAAUUAUGGCAGCUACUAUAGCUACUGAAUUUGCUCGUGACAAGGGUUGGUAUUGUCUUUGGCUAGAAAGCGACUCUGUUAGUCAUUCAUCUUUUUUCCAAUCCUUCGCUCCUCCUCCAUGGGGUAUUCAUAACAGAUGGUAGAAUUGUUGUAAUCUCAUCAACUCCAUGGCGUUUAGAUUCUCUCAUAUCUUCUGAGAAACUAACUAUGUGGCUGAUCAUUUAACUAACUUGGGUCUUAUUUGUGAUUCUCUCACUUGGUGGCAGACUCCGCCAUUAGAGAUUUUGGAGUUACUUUCUCAUGAUGCCAAUGAGUUUCUAAAAUAUCAUUUUAUAUAGUUACCUCUUUUGGUUUAACUUCAUACUUUUUUCUUUUUUCUACUUUAACUUCUUACAAAUUUUAAGGGAUAAAACUCAUUAUGUCCCCUGUGGACAGUUGUAAUUCCUUUCUUUUUAUUUUUUUGAUUAAUUAAUUCAGUUUAUUAAAAAAAAAAAGAAAAUUGACCAGUAUUAUUACUCUAUGUAUUAGCAUUAAAUCACACAUUAUUAAUGAAGUAAAAAUGAUAUGACAGAUCCAAUUUUAGUAGUUUACCAAGUUCAAUUAAAGGCGAAUUAAACGAAUUAAACAAAUUAAUGUGUAAAAAUAAAAUAAACAAGAGAAUUUUUACAUGGUUUUGGAUUCAAAUCCUUGCAUCCAUGGAGCCACAUUUAGAGAUCAAAUAAUUCACUAGGUUCAAGAGAUUACAAACUAUUGGAAUCUUACACAGUAUGAGACACCCUCUAGUGAUUGUGGCCACCUUGUCAUAACCUAUCCAAGUGAACACUUUGCGUGCACCACAUGUCUUUUGCUUGCUCUCCCGAGCAAGACUUCUUAGUCAAUGGUAUAUCACCUCUCUGUAAAAUCCCUCUACUGCGAACAUAUGACUCUUCUCGUGAAAAGACCAGAGACAAUCACUACUAGAAAAAUGAUCUUUAUUGAUAUUUGUCUUCUGACACUUUAUUUAAAAGUAUCAGUAUAUACAUAUAUUUGGAUUAGUUUCCGCGUUUAACAAAUAUGUAUCACUAAUUACUAAUACUGAAGUAUCAAUGGCUUUAGUAAUAGCAAUCAAUGACGCUUUGGUAUCAGCAAUUAAAAAUUAUCAUUUUAAUUUUGUUUUAGUCCGAAUUCGAACCCAAGACCUCUUAAACCUAAAGCUUCUACAUUGAAUCAAAAGACCACUAGGCUACGAAUUAUUUUUAAUUUUUUUAGAGUUGUGCUUUUUGAGUGGAUAAAAACAAAACAAAUGGACAAGUCUUAUCUUAUCCAAAAUAUAACUUUUCAACUCCCUCUACAAAGUAUUUGUUCCCUCCUAAGCUCCCCAGAUCUAAAAAAUCCCUAACAUCCAAAUUGUGAAAAAGUGCUCAGCCAUGAUCCUGUCAAACCGGUGGCAUAGGUUCACCAUUUGCCUUCAAAAUCCUAACUUCUUAUUUCUUUUCUUAUUUUAUGAUUUCGGGUCUCUCUUAUUGUCAUUAGAUCUUGAGUUUUUUUUUUUGUUUUAAUUGUUCUUUUAAGUUUAAAUAAGUGAUUUGGAGAAGAGCUUCUAUGUUUCUUUGGCUACUUGGAAGAAACUAGAAGGUAUUGUUUCUUUGGCUACUUAGAAGAAACAAGAAGGUAGAGAUUUAGCUUUUAUUGUGUUUUUUUCUCUGCUACUUUCUUUUCUUUUAUUGGCCCCAAAUAGCCUUCAUUAUAUCUACUUUGGAAAAUAUUGUGUUUAGGGUGAUCGUCACUAUAAGGUUAACUUUAUUUCACUGAUGAACGACAUUAAACAUUUUUUACACUAAAACCCUAAAAUUUUCUAAUUUGGGAAUUCUUAAGAGCAGCAUGAUUAUGCUAAAAUUGAUGGUUUAUAUUGGUUCAUAGUGGUUCUAUGUUGAUAUAACUUAUUGCUGAUAAACCAUUUGUUCAUGUGUUAUUAGUUUUUUUUUUUCAAAAGCAAUCUUUUCAUUUUUUUUCGGCUGUUAUUUUUUAGUUUUGUUCAUAUCGAAUAGAUUUCAAUUUUUAUUUGCUAUAAAUAGUCUCAUUGGAUGAUUACUUAGUACAAACUAUCAAAUAUAUGCUUUUACAAAGGAAAAGUUUGAAGUAUGUGGCUUAGGUUGAGAAAUGAGGUGUCUUUAUCAUUUCUUUAAUGGAUUUGUUUACAGGGCAAAACAAAAUUUUGUUUCUUCAGUUCAUUACUAAGGCAAUAUUAGAUUUGUCUUAUUUAUAUUUAUGUUCAUAAUAAGGCAAUAUCUCCUUCUUUUUUUUUUUUUUGAUGAGAAGGCAAUAUCUACUUCAGUUGUUUAAUUUUUCUUAUUUAUAUUUAUAUGAUUGAUGGCCAAAAUCAUAAGACUUAUUCAUAAGUAAUGAUUUUGGAAUGAACUCUCAAAUUAUCGAAAUAUUUUGUCCAAACUUUACCAUAUGUUUGAAAUAAUUAAAGUUAAAUGUGUAUGUUUCAGUUUUGGAAAUUUUGGAAUGAAUUGGGUCUAUAACUGAUUUUUAAUCGAUUUUUCAAAAUGGUUGGUUGCUGUCCAAUCUUUCAUAAAUUACUCAUGUAUCAUGUUUGGUGGUGCAAAAUGAUAGUCUAAACAUAUCUGAAUGAGCUGAAAUUCGGAGAAACUAAAGUUCUAUAUGCAUACUUCAAAUCUGAAAAAUUUUAUGUUGAUUGAACUUGCAGGUUAUUUUUAAUGAUUUUUUAAACUCUGCUGCUCUGCAGCAAGUUCUUUUGACAUAACUAUUUAUUAACUUUUGAUUUUACAAAACACCAGCAUAAUAAUAUCAGAAUAACCUCAAAUUUUAAUAUGUUGUUCAUUCAUAUGUGUUGUUAAAAUCUGGAAAAUAUCAUUCCAAUGUAUUAAGUAUCUUAAAUUUUAUAAGAUUCAUGGCCAAUAUCAUAAGACUUGUUUAUAAGUAAUGAUUUUGGAUUGAACUCUCAAAUUAUUGAAAUAUUUUGUCCAAACUUUACCAUAUGUUUGAAAUAAUUAAAGUUAAAUGUGUGUGUUUCAGUUCUGGAAAUUUUGGUAUGAAUUGGGUCUAUAACUGAUUUUUAAUCGAUUUUUCAAAAUGGUUGGUUGCUGUCCAAUCUUUCAUAAAUUACUCAUGUAUGUUUGGUGGUGCAAAACAAUAGUCUAAACAUGCUGAAUGAGCUGAAAUUCGGAGAAACUAAAUUUCUAUAUGCACACUUCAAAUAUGAAAAAUUUUAUGUUGAUUGAACUUGCAGGUUAUUUUUAGUGAUUUUUUAAACUCUGCUGCUCUGCAGCAAGUUCUUUUGACAUAACUAUUUAUUAACUUUUGAUCUUACAAAACACCAGCAUAAUAAUAUCAUAAUAACCUCAAAUUUUAAUAUGUUGUACAUUCAUAUGUGUUGUUAAAAACUAGAAAAUAUCAAUCCAAUGUAUUAAGUAUCUUAAAUUUUAUAAAUAUGUAUUUAAGUACCAAUUACUACUGUAGUUGGAGCCCAAAAAUGAACGGUUUUAGGACCAGCCAGGUGGUUCCAGAAAGCUAGGAGCUUGUUAGCUAUUCUUUUUAAUUGAACUAAUUUAACCUAAAUAUUAGCCGGAUUAUUUAAUUUCUAUGGUUUACGAUUGAUUUGAGUUUGACAUUCUUGUUUUGUGUUGGUUUGAGUUUGACAUCCUAGUUUAAGACUUUGAAGCCUUGUAAGAAAUGAUUUUGGAUGAUGAGCAUAUGAGUAAUAGUUUGAAAAUUAAUUUAUUGUAUCAAAUAUAUACUUAGUGUAGCAUAUUAAUUUUAAGAACUAUGGAUUAUUCCAUGAAUAUUCUAGUAAAUGGUUAUGUUAUAUAUGCAUGUCUUAAUAUAUAAUAAUUAUAUUUUGAAGUUUGUUUUUUUUCCCUUUCUAGGUUUAGGAAAAAUGUUUAAAGUGAUUUUGGGUUAUGAUGUCAAUCAAGUUAAAGCAACAUUACUUGUGAGUGGAAAUAUAUAAUGAUUAUAUUUUUAUUCUACUUUUUUUUUAUCUUCUUAAAGUUUUAUAAUUAGACAAAAUUAAUGAAUACUUAAUUACAAUUUAGGGUGAUAUUCUUUAAAUGGUUCACAUGAAUAGAUUUAAGUAGUAUAAUAAAUCUCAUACUCACUUUAUAAAGGCUUAACUAAGUUUGCAAAUAUUAUUUCUUUUAGUAGUAAUAAUUUUGGAUCGAACUCUCAAAUUAUUGAAAUAUUUUAUGUCCAAACUUUAUUAUGCCUAAUAUAAAUAUGGAGAUUCAUAGUUAUUUUAUGCCCAGUUUAAGGAAACUGCAAUUUGAGGACUUAUUUUUUGCCUUGUUAAAUAAGCUUUUAGAAUGAAUAAAUUGAGGAAAUGAGUGGUGAUUUAUUUAUAAUAGAGCAUUUGUGAUAGCUUUUAACUAUGCACAAAAAUCAUUUGGUAUAUGUAGAUAGAGUAACAUGCUUGUGCUGAAAGUAGAUAUUACAUUGAAAACUUCUUGUCUGCUAUAGUUUGCUAUAUAUAUAACCUUUGCCAAAAGAGAAUAAUUGAGUUUAUUUAUAAAUAGCUUAUGAGUAUUUUUUUCUUUCGAACAAAAUAAUUUUAUUUUUGUUAAUUGUUGUUUCUCUAAUGCCUGGAUAUUGGCAGCUAAUUUUUUUUUUUCUUUUCCAUGUAUUCAUAUGCAGAUUUGAUCAAUGUGUUUGAAGUGUUUAUUCCUCAACUUCACUUAUAUCCUAACCCAUACAGUCUAUUGAAUGGAGAAGCUGCUGGUGUGAUAACGCAAUUAUACUACUCAUAUUCAAAGAGUGAAAGGCAGUCAUCCUUCUCAAUUUAACUUCUAGAUUUAUUAAAUUUAGCCACAAGUAGUAGGCAUUUGAUUGGAUGGUAGAAAUUUUUAUGUAUUGAAUUUGGAUUAUUUAGUUAUGAGAGUAGGAUAUCUCAUAUUUUUGUUAUUGAAGUUUUGGAAUUUGUAAUAUGUACUAAUAAUAUUUAGAUGUGAAAUGAAAGAUUUUGUGAUAUAAAUCAAUUUCUUUUUGUUAUUUUGUGGUGCCUUUUAAUUUUACCAAUAAAUCAAUAGGCAAUGAUCCAAUUCAAUUUUUUAUUUUUUAAAAUAAAUUAACUAGUGAUACCAUGGUAACAGUAAUCAUAAACACUAAUAAAAUAUCAAUAACUACUAACACUAUGGUGUCAUAAUAUCAGUGAUACUGUAGUAAUAGUAAUCACUGACACCACUUACAAGUGUCACUAUUUUUCUGACUCCCAGAUUACUGACACAAUUAACAAGUGUCAGUAAAAGUAAUUUCUGACACUAUUCUAAAGUCAGUAAAGACCAUUUUUCUAGCUAGUAGUGAAUGUCUCCCAAAUCAAAGAAUGUUCACGAGGUUGUAGCCUCUGAAGUAGAAUCCUUUAGUAAAAUAUAUGAAUGACUCGCCUUUAUAUAGUGACUAGCGAAUCACGUGUAAUGAAGAGUCUAAAUUUUUUUCCUUUGAUAGCGCCCAAAGCCUUUAGAUGUAUAAGGAACUCUUCAUGAUACUAUAGCAAUAUUAUCUCUUCAAUAUCUGUUUAUCAUCUGCUUUAAAUCAAAACAAUUUAAUCUCAAUCUUCAAUGAUCACGCCAAUUGUAAUUUCCAUCCAAAGGAAUAUUGCUUGCUUGAUCUUGAUAGAUAACUUCUAUGUAAAGAUUGAUUUAUGUUCAAUUACUUUGACCUUGUUGUCCGCAUGUGAAGUAACACCCAUGUCUUGCAUCUUCUCUAUGAUUCACGCCAACUUCAUCAUAUAAGUUUGCCUUAUGCGUUUCCCUCAUGCUAAAAUAUCUCUGUAUAGACUUAUGUGGACCUGACAUACAUAUAAUAUGUAAAAUCCCAAUUUGCCUGUAUUUGCCGUCGUUCCAAGGCACUGUUGUAAUACUUGAGAUAAACUAAAUUACGUAGGUAUUAAAAUACUAAUGAAGACUCAAUGAUGUGUACAAUGAGGAUGGAAACGUACAAAUAUUAAAUUGAUGUUGUAUAGAAAUACCAACAUCCAUACAAUGAAAUUCCUUCUUUUUUUCCCCAAAAACUGAAUAUUGAAACUGAUUCAAUUUCAAUCACCCGCCCUAAAAGUUGCAUGACAGCUAGAACAGAUCCAAGAACACAAAAAGUCUGCGAAUUAAAGGACCAGAAAAUUGGAGAAUUACUUUAUCGUAGCAUCUUUCUUUUCCUUUAAUGGAGUGAAUAACGAAUCGUGUAAUCUGGGAAUUAUUUAAGAAUCUAAAUAGAAACAAUCUGUCACCACUGAUGCUUGCUGGAUUAUAUUAGUGCCAUUCCUGAAGUUUGAAGAGCUUUAGAGCCACGAAUCUAAUCUUCAUGAUUUUUUUUUUUUUUUUUUGGGGAUAAGCUGCAUGGAAAUUUCAAGAAAUCGCUGAGUGCGAAAAACAAGUGGAAAACAUUUAAGACCAAUGCGUGGUUAAAACUUAACACACCACCUGAGAUCCGUGUCUUCCUUCAGAAGGAUGCUUCCCGAAUCCCUUUAAAAUCGCUUUAGUUGAUUCGGUGCUUAAUGUUUUUUUGACUUGUAUUUUUUUAAUUGAGAGGCUUGGCUUUCUCUUAAAGACUCAACUCCUUGUUUUUAUUUUACUCUUUACUUAGUUUUAUUUUAAGUUUCUUCUCGACAUUGUCGAGGACCAUUUAAAGAAAAAAAAAAAAACUUAAGACUACAUGUAUGUCGGUUCAAUUAAUCAUGUAUGUGUAUAUCGUUUUAUAAAGAGAUUCCGCACUUGAACUAAAAUUUUAUAAAAUUGAAACUAUAGUUUUUAUUAAAAAAAUCUAAAAUUUUAUUAAUGACAUAAGAAAUUAGUUUUUUUAAACCUUAUUUAUCAUAAGACUCCAAUAAUAACUUGAACUUAAUAUCGGGUUACUAUUACAUGAGAAUCUACCAUGCAUAAAUUAAAGAUAAAAUAAAUGAAGCAAAGGACCCUUAAUCCAACAACCAGAACAUAUAAAUCAAUGAAAACAUUCUAAAAAUUCUGAAAUAAAGAAAUAAAGAUCAUUUGAAGGCUUAAACAGCAAAAUUCGACAAAAAUAAAUGAAAACAUUCUAAAAAUUCUGAAAUAAAGAAAUAAAGAUCAUUUGAAGGCUUAAACAGCAAAAUUCGACAAAAAUCAUGGCGGGUCUGGUUAACAUAUUAGCCGGCCACUAUCCUCGAUCAAAUGGAAAUAGAUGCCAACACAUCCACACUUUGCUUUGACCGACCUACAAUUAGUUAUUAUACUUUUAAACUCCUUUUCUAUUUUUAUUUUUGAAGGAUAUGUAUAUAUAUAUAUAUAUAUAUAUAUACAUAGGGGAUCCUGAGCUUUGAUAAAGUAUUAGAAAUCUAUUAAGGCACGUAGUUUAAUAAUAUAAUGGCACUAUACCGUUAAAUCACAUGACUUAGUAGUUUUUUUCUAACUUUAACAAAGUUUAGGAUCUUGGACCAGAUUAGUACAUAUCUUGCAUCCUGAAUUAGAAAACACACAUACAGAGACACGUAUAUAUCCGCGGAAAGAGAAGGCUUUAUAUAAAAAAAAAAAGACACCUAAUUAAGGAGCCGUAAUGAAUCUUAACCCUACAGAGAAGGUUAAGUACAAGGCAACGAAAAAUAAAUUCGAAAACAAAAGUCAUGCAUGUGAAGUGCAAGAAAGUAAAAAGCAAUGCAAACAUAUAUCUAGGGAACCGCCAUUAGCAUCUAUGUUGUGAAGAAGAAAGAGAAAGAGAGGAAGACAAGUAAACGUGCUUCUUAUCUCCAAUAGCUUUCGACUUUAAUCAAUCACAAAUAUCUUUAAACUUUAAUCAUCCCUCUAACAAAUACUUUUCAAUUACCCAAAUAGAUUCGACUUUAUUUAAUCCAUCACAAUGUUUUUCACCUUGUUUUCUUCUUUUUUUUUCCUUUUUCCUUUUCUGAAUUCGAUAAUUACUCUUGUACCCUCCAUAUACAAAGCACAGGUGGCGUGUUAUUUAAUCAAGACUGGCAUCUCUUCUCCUAUAUAAAAAUAUCGGCGAUAGAAAUUAUCAAAUUAGCGCAGCCAGACAGGAGCUGGCUAGUGAGUGAGUGAGCGAACUGAAAGUUUAGAACAGCCAGCUAGGAAUUAAAAGUUAAAAAUAAAUAAAAUAAAAUGGAUGAACGUUCUGCUGGGCAUCGCGUGGUUCUAAUUUCUAAGACUGUGUUCUUACUAAUUUUGUUUCUUCUUUGUCAACUUGGCUCCGAGUUCAAAUUUCAGAGUGCUGCUGAAAAUGAUACUAAAGUAGGUGAUCUACCUGGUCAUGAAGGUAAUAUAUGCUAAUAAUUCUUUAUAUCUCGAGUAAAUUUCAUAAUUUUAAAGGGUUUUUGGUUCUCUAGCAUGCGGUUUCCAUUAUUAUAUACAUAUAAGUACAUAAUAUAUAUAUAUAUAUUAAUUAAAAAUGUUCCAAUCUAGAAUCUUAGACUUUUUUAAAGUUUGUGAAAGCUAUUAAACUGUGAGGUUUAAUAGUGUAAUGUUUGUAAAAGUUUUGAAGCCGUGUGGUUUAAUAGUAUUAUUGCAUAAUGCUAUUAAAUUGCAUGGCAUAAUAGCUUUUCCAGACUUUAUCAUUUACCAGAUCAGGAUAUAUAUAUAUAUAUAUAUGCAAAUGUCUUCAAUUUUUUAAAUGCAGACUCGGGAUAACACCACAUAGUAUUAACGUGUUUUUAUCAUUUUUUACAAUUAACUAUAAUACCAUACGGUGUCAUAUCCGUGCUAAAUAAUGACUAUAUAUAUAUAUAUAUAUGAUCACUAAUUAUCAGGUGCGCAUAAAUUCUCUGUAUUGAGAAUUGCUAAAAGUUAAAACAAACGAAAUUAUAAUUGGAUAGCAAAUUCGAUAAUGCAUGCAACUUUUAUAAAUUAAUUAAGAGUUGAACGAAUGUUUUUGUCUUGUAACUAUAUAGCUGGCAUAGAUCCAUUUGCUCAUGAUCAGUUUAACAACAUUUCUUGUCGGAAAUAUUAUUGGCAGUGGCCGGUCUGACGGAAAUGAUGUCCAGUUUGCAGUGGAGGGCACAACUACCUAAAUUGAGUUCAUAUUGCCGUGAGACGCCAAAGCUUAGUUCCAAUAUUACCAUCACUUGCCUCGUCGAUAAAGGGACCCCGCACAUCUCCGGCAUGUAUAUGUUCCAACUCUAAUCUAAUUACUUGCCUUGACAGUCAUAACAAAAGCAAGGCUAAUUUCCAUUAUUAACUGCAUGUUAAUCUUUUUGUAUCCAGAAUCAUGGAGAGUGUAGGCUUAACUGGAAAAAUCCCAGAACGUGUGGCUGCUAUGACAUACCUGCAGAUACUGUAUGUACAAUUAAUUAAUUAAUUAAUUCAAUGAUCAAUCAUUUUGCAUAAGCUUUUAUAACUAAAUUUAAUAAAUUAAACAACUAUAUAUAUAUAUCGUCGUAAGCUUGGCUCUUGCCUUAAUUAAUACAUGCAUACAUAUUUGAUAUGGUUUUAUACAUGUCAAAACUCAACAGCGAUCUAUCCGACAACACAAUUCAUGGUUCCAUUCCUUACCAGAUUGGGUAUUUAUUUCAGCUUAUCACUCUGUAAGUCCUCACUUGCCGCAAGUAAUUCAAUUAUAGCUCCUUUUUUCUUUUUCUUUUUCCUUUUCUUCUGAUAUACUGGAUUUGUGUGAUGAGUAGAGAUUUAUCAAAAAAUCAAUUAACUGGGACCAUACCAACAAGCUUGGGGAAUUUGAGGAACCUAGAAAUGCUGUAAGUCUUUUAUUAGUUAAAAUUAUUCCGUCAUAUUUUGUCUCUAAGUGAAGUGUCAGAUUGAGAUUCUCUCCUUCACUAUCCUGAAUUUUUAAAGCUCUAUUGACAUGUGUCACUUAACCAGUUGGCCAGGCCCUUGGGGGCCAACUGCCAAUAACAGACGGCAUUGAAUUUGAAGAGGAUCCAAAUCGGUGAAGUGUCAUGCCAUCCCAAGGAAUUUUAGUCGACAUUUCAAAUUUUUAAGAUUCAAAUUUUAGGAUGUUUUGUCAUUGCUAUAUGAUUUUGUACAUUAUGCAUGCUUGUUCACACACACACACACACACACACAAAGAGAUAUGAAAUCUCAAUAGAUAGAAGAUUUUUGGUUCCCUUCAUUUUUCUUACUAUGAAGUACCAUCAUACGUCUAUGAUUUCCUGCCGUAGCGAUCUGGGCCAGAACUUACUCACGGGGAAGAUACCACCAUCGUUGGGGCGCUUGUCAUCUCUUCAAACAUUGUAAGAAUCUUCACAUGCAAUGCAAUUUUUUUUUUUUAGGCAAAUCUAAAGGGUACAAGAAAAAUUUUACUACUAAGGGAAAAAAAAUGACACUUAAAUGAGGAUACGCAAUGAAUCUUAUCCUUAAAAAAUUAAGAAAACAAAACAUAUGACCAAUAUGAAAAAAGAAGAGCAACAUAGAAAUAAUUACAUUUGCUCCGCAAAAUCCGACAGUUCUUCCAACGAAAAAUUCGGAAGUAAAAUAUUGAAAUAUUCAAUUAAUUAGUUACUCCAAAAAUUGCAUUUGCAUUUAUCUUACUAUGUACUUCUGGGCAUUUUAGGGAACUAUGGAGCAAUCAGCUAUCGGGGGAAAUUCCUCGUGAACUGGGAGAACUUUCUCAGCUCGGGGUUUUGUAUGAAAUCUCACUCUACUUUUAAAAUUAUAAAGCCAGCUACUUAAAUCAAUAAUUAGCUUAUUUCUUUGAAAAUACAAUACAAUUUUUAAUUUCAUAUAUAUUUUCUAAUAUCUAGAUCUGUGCCGGAGAAUGGACUCAGAGGUACACUCCCACCAGAACUUGGAAAAUUAAGCAAUCUUGAAGAAUUGUAAGUGCUUGUGGAAGUAUUUAUUUAUGGAAUUUAUAAAAUGGUUAAUUAGGAUGUUGAUCUCGUCGUGUAUAUAUACGCUUGUAACUAAUUAUGUACUACAUAUAUGCUUGUACUUGAAAAUUCAUUUAUACGUGCACACUUGCGCGCGCGCACACACGCAUAUUUGGCUGGUAUGCAAUUAUUAUAUGUCAAUCAUUCAUCUACGUACAUACCAAUACCACAUUAAAAUUUACAACACCUCAAUCUUAAACAUAACCUAAAAAUAAUUUUCAUGUGGUUGCAGGUGGUUGACAUCCAACAAUUUAAGGGGGGAUUUGCCAAAAGAUUAUGAGAAUCUAAAGAAUCUGACGAUUUUGUAAGUGUCAUGUUUGUUCAUUUUCUAAUUGUUAUUGUUGUUGUUAUUUUUAAGGAUUGUAAUUAAUUUGGUCUAGAUUUUUCUUGCUUAUUGUUUGAAGUCUGCAAAUAUCAGUAGUGGAAAUUUUAUUUGUCAAUGCAGGGAAAUAGCUGGGAAUUAUUUGUCUGGUCCGAUCCCCAGAUUCAUUGCAAAAUGGGACAACCUCUAUUUUCUGUAAGCCUAUUCAUUUUAUCAUUUUAUGUGUAAACGGAAACUUGGGUACUCUCUGUGUAAACAAUCUGCUUUUGUUGGAGUUUAAUAAUUUGCUACAUAAAACUGUUAACCAAACUCUGACAUAUACUCCUUUGGCAAACCAUGCUAAGUAAAGGUAGGAAUAUGGGCUGGGUAGAAUGGGAAAAAUUCAAGAAUACAUCUGUUGUAUUACAACCAAUUGAUGCAUGCAUGACAUGUGUAAUUGAGUUUAAUACAACCACCACUUACAAAAUAAAUGCACACAUGUCAUGACAUUAUUUACUUCUUGUAUGGCUGACAUGAUACAACAGAUGUAUUUUAAAAUUUCUCGUAGAAUGGAUAUUCCUCUGUAAUUAAAGGUAGAAAUGUAGGUUGUAUCAAAAUAAAUUUGACCCAGAAUAGUCGCAGUAUAUAAAUUUCUUAUUGCAAUAUAUAUAUUGCAUCAUAUAAAAGUAAACCAAUUUGCAUGAUGCUCGAAAACAUACAAAAACAAUGAAUUCUCCCACACGCGCGAGCUAAUUAUCAAUAAUAUUACUUUUGUUUCCUUUAAUCUCACAGAAAUUUGAUGGGAAAUAACUUCGAAGGGGAGCUGCCACCAGAAAUUUUUAAUAUGUCAAGCCUUCGAAUUUUGUAAGAACAAUUAAUAAUAAUCCAAACUCUGCUCUAUAUAUGUAUUUAUGUGUGUAUGUGUAUAUAAUUCUUCUCUACUGCGGGCGCCCUCAUUUGUUUUUUUACUGCAAACAUGAUUUUAAGCAGUGCGAUUUAAUAGAAUUAGUUUUUAGUGUUAUUAAACCGCACGGCUUAAAAGUGUGUCCGUAAUAAAAAAAUAAAAAAUGAGAGCGCCCGCACACACUCACACACACAGAAAAUUUUCAGACACACACACAUAUAUAGAAAAUUUUCAGUGACAUCAUACUAUAUGGUGUAAUAAAGACUAUUAACAUUCUUGUACUUUAAUAAAGUACAAAAAACUCAUUAGAUAAUAACUAUAUAUGUAUAGCUUUCAAUGUGGAACUUUGCUUACAAUAUUAAAAUCUAUCUUUUUCAUGGUUUACAAUGUUUUGUCAUAGACAUUGUAAAGUCCAUGACUCCCGGAUGGGAAAUUUUCUUUUUUAAUUGCGCAAUUAACUUAAUUUCUAACUUGGCUUCGUUGUUUAUUCCAGGUAUGUCUCUGACCUACAAACGAUGGGCUUUUCUUUCCCGAAGUCAGCUAAUUUGAGUAGUAUAUCAAGCCUGUAAGCGGUGUAUUCCAAUUCCAUGCACGUAUAAUUAUUUUAUGCGUUAAUUAUAUAUUUAUCUGUUUUUGUUAAUUAAUUAAUACCUGAUCUGCAUUUUAAAUUUAUUAAUUGUAUACUAUUCCUUAUAAUUAAUUAAUUAAAUCUUUUUUAGAAAUUAAAUUAAUCAUAAUAAUUCUACAGGACAUUGAGAAAUUGUAGCAUUACUGGUUCAAUCCCACCAUACAUUGCCAAUUGGAAUCAGUUAGGCUACCUGUAAGUUUAUUUUCGUUUAUUUUCUUAUUAGUUUAGUAAUAUGAGGCCAGAGGUCAUUUAAACUUGUCUCCGCAACAUCUAUUAACCUUGUCAGAAUCUCGUAAAGUAAAUUACUAAACUAGUGUAUAUAUUUGAUUUUUGCAUAUAUUACCUCAAUUUCUAAGAUAUAUUAAAAAAGGGUUAUUUUCAAGAAUACUUUUGGAAAUACACAUCUGUCUUGGAAAAUAGUCAUUUCUAAAAGAAAAUUAAUAAAAUAUUACUGAUUUUUUUUUUUUGGCCAUCUAAUCUAAUAUUUCCUAAGCUUUAUAUAUAAAAUAAAUUGCAGUUAUAUUACUUUGCAGACAACAAAAAAGAUUGUCUUCAAUUGAUAUUGCUUUUUUUUUUUCAAAUAUUGUCUAAAAUUUAUUCAAUCGCCGACCUUCACUAUGCUCAUGGGUUGGGGAGAGUUGUUAAUCCACUUGUGAUCGUUUCCUCUUGCUUAUCAAUCCCGGAAACAAGGACUUAUAUUUUUUAUUUUGGUUGAUCUUUCAUCAAAUAAUUUCCAUAUUUUUUUACUGAAUUUUUUGUUUUUUUUUUAAGUUUUAUUUAUAAGUACUAUGAUUAUGCUUUCAAUUCUAGUCCAUUUCCGUGAUAUAAUUCUUCUUUACAGAAUUUAUUGUCGGUAUUUCUUCUUUGCUCAAGUUUAUACCAAAGUUUAAAGUUUCUGAUAAAAAAAACUAGAGAAAGAAGGAGCAGUUUGGUUAAAAAGCGGCACCGCUUUUUAGCGCCCGUUAAGAAAACAGUGUCUUGAUAUUUAAUGAGAAAAUUUUUAAAUAAAAUAAAUCCUAAUCCUUGCUGUAAAUGAUCAUUUUUUUUUCUCUAAUGAUUGAUUAUUAUUAAUUUGCACUGUAGUGACCUGAGCUUCAACAACUUAACUGGUGGAAUUCCAAAUACUUUGAAGAAACUGUUUUUAUCUGAGCUGUAAGUGAUAACCUUAUUGAAUCCCAUUGAUUUUAUAUCUUUUCCUUUUGACUGACAGUAAUAGUGUAAUAAAAAAGAAUCCAAAUAAUUUGUUUUUUCUGUUACUAUUUUUACUUUCCAGGUAUCUUACAGGAAAUAUGCUCAAUGGAACAUUGCCAGACUGGAUUUACAGCAAUGUUAAAAAAAAGGGGUAUGCUUUCUAACUAUACAUAAAUGUGAUAAAAUGUUUUCAAACUUGUUCUAGUGUAAACAUUAUUUCCUUUCCCCAUCAAAUUAAACACAUUUUAAAUCAAAGACGCGGGUUAGGCAAAUGAAAAUUUAUGUAAAAAAUUUCAAUUUAGAAUAGUGUAAUGUGCAAAUGUUUUGAAGCUUCUUAUUCAAAUGCUAGCUGCAUAUAUUUAGUUAAAGAUAUUAUCGUCCCAAGUCAUGAACAAACUCUAGCCUGCCAGCCUUUUGCAUGCAUCUAGUUAAAUAUAUGAAUGUCCAAAGUCAUGCACAAACUCUAGCCUGUCGUUGUGUUUAGGAAUUCCUAUGCCAUUUUGCAUGCAAAUACAAAUUAAUAAUUAAUGCCAACACUACUUGUCUGAAUUGUCAUCUUGCAGGGAUCUUGCAUACAAUGAAUUCAUAUUUCCAGAACCAGAGACACACAAGUAAGAAAAUAGCUUUAAUUAAUUAAUUGGUUCCUUUCUUUAUUAAUUUGUUUCUUUGCAGUUGCAUGAUUGCUUAUCCACAUGCAUAAUUUUAUAUAUAUAAAUGAAUUUCAUAAUAAUUUUAAAUUUUUAUCUUGUAGGAAUCUUCCCAACAACAGUUCUCGGAUAAAUCUGUAAGAAAAUUAUACUACACCCUAUUAUAUAAUAUUCUCCUACGUUCUUACUCAUUUUCGUGCUGCAAAUUUCAAUUCCAACAGUUUCUGUCUAUCUCGUUUUCUGAUUUUGAUUUUGACUUUCAAUGAACAUGUGAUAUCUGCACGCACACUACUAACAAUAUUGCUGUGCUGUAACCAGUGAACCUAAGAAUCGGUAUGUUCAUAUUCAUUUAUCUAAUAAUUAUAUUAUAGGCGAUUUAUCUAUCGAUCAGCAAGCAAUUAAUUAUUACGUGAAUUAACGCCCUUACAAAAGUAAUUGAACUUAUUAUUGUAAUUAUUUAUAUAGGACAUUUCCGGAAGAGAUUGUGAGGAAGUAUUGCCCCGAUGGCCAGAAGAAAUCUCAGUGUAUGUAUAUAAGGAUUUAUUAAAUUCCUGAAAAACUGUAGUUUAAUAGUCUAAUGGUCGGAAAAACUAUUAAGUUUAUUUUAAUAAAGUGCAGGAGUUUAAAUUAUUUAUAUUUUUUAUUAUUAUUAACUCAUGCACAGAUUGAGACAUGAGCUCCAGGAAGGCUGUCCUUUGCCACCGGAGCUAGACCUUGGUUUCAUAUACAUGUUUAAAUUAAUCAAUGUGUACAUAUAUUGCAGACAAUGAUAAUUUGCAUAUAAAUGCUGGUGGCGAUAAACAUCACAGGGAAGGAUUUUGGUAUGAGGCAGAUAAAUCGACAUCAAAUUUUUAUGUUAACGAACCGGAAUACAACUGGGGAUAUAGCUGUAACGGACAUUUCUAUGCGGAUUCAAUGGUUGAUUCACGUGCAUUUAUACAGAAAGUAACGUGUGGAGCUGCAGUGAUUGAUGCAUCUUUAUAUGACGAAGCUCGCCUUUGCCCCAAUUCUCUCAAAUACUAUGGUUUUUGCUUGCGAAACGGCAAUUACACUGUCAGUCUUUUGUUCUCUGAGAUUGUUUUUGCAAAAAAUGAUGAUUACAGCAGUUCAGCAAAACGUGUAUUUGAUAUAUAUAUACAGGUAGGUACGCUAGCCACAAAUUUUUUUAAUAAAUUUAAUUAGCAAUUUAUCCCUCCCUAGCCUCCUUUAAUUAAUUUUAAUUUCCAUACAUGCAGAGCGAGCUAAUGCGAAAGGAUUUCAACAUAAAAGAAGUGGCCAGGCAUUCAAAUAAUGUAACGAUUCAAAAUUUCACGGCUUCUGUACACGACCAUCUACUGGAAAUCGAGUUAUUCUGGGCUGGCAAAGGAUCUUUAUUAAACCCACCUUAUUUUCAUGGACCUCUCAUAUCAGCUAUUUCUGUAACUCCAAGUACGGUGCAAAGUUGCAAUCAUUGCAUAAGUGAUAGCUCUUCAAUUUUGUUAAUUAUCAUCUCCCAAUAUGCCUUUUGUUGCAUGCUAUCAAUCACUGUUUAAUUUUCAGAUUUCGGAGUCAGCCGAUCACGACUAUCUAAAAUAGGGAUAGUAGCAAUUGUACUUGGGGCUGUGCUGGCGUUGAUUCUUUUCUUGGCUCUCAUGUGGAGAUUAGGAUGGAUAGGAGACAGAGAAUUGCGUGGUACGUACGGGAGAUUAUUUAUAUAUAUUGGAAAAAAUUUCAAUUCGAAGUUAAAUCCCAGGAUGGAUUUCUGAUUUCGUAAAUCGAUUUUUACGAUGUUCUAAACUGAUUUACGAUAUCAUAAAUCUAUCUCCAACGUUAAUACCAUAUUUUAAGCUUAGUUGUAUAUAUAUAAUAUGCUAUGUAAGAAAUUAUCAGGUGAGGGAUUUGGCACUAUAAUAAAUGCGAGAUGAAUUUUUACAAUAUUGUAAGUUUAGUAGAGUGCAGGACGGAUUUUUAAAGUCUGUUUGCAACAUUUUGAAAAUUUGUCUCAUAUUUUAAUUGAGUACAUAAUCCCACAUUAGAAGCCCACUUUAUGCUAUAUAUGCUAUAGUAUAAGGCUUAUAAAAGAUAUCAAGAAAAAGUAUACGUAUAAUUGAUCUGUUUCCUUUCUCAUUUCUUCAUGAAAUACACAGUGACAACGGUCAACCUACGAGGGAAGUCUUACACCCUCAAACAAGUGAAAGUCGCUACUCGAAAUUUCAGCCCCAGGAAUGUAAUUGGCUCGGGGCGUUUUGGGACAGUAUACAAGGUUAAACAUUAAUUGCCGUAUCUCUCUCUAUGUGCGUGUGUGUGUGUGUGUUUUGUGUGUCCGUGUGUGUGCGUGCGCGUCCGUGUGAAAGAUUUUCUAAUAUGGGAUUAAAAUUCAGGAUAAGUUAACAAUGGUGUGAACAUAUUUUUACAAUGUUAUAAAAAUAUGUUCACAAUGUUGUCAAUUUGUCUCAGACUUCAAGAAAGUUUGAGAUCCUAAACUAGGUUGCUACUUAUAUAUAAUAAGGGACCCUUAGCUUUUUAAAACAAGAGAUCAUCUAAAAGACAAAAAAUAUAGACAACAAUCAAAUGCACUACAUUAGAGUGUGUGUUUUUCUUGUCUUUUAAUUUAUCCAUUACUUUAACAAAGUAAAGAAUUUCUUAUUUGAAAAAAUUCUCUCUCUCUCUCUCUAUAUAUAUAUAUACUCACCAAGAUCCUACUUUUAUUAAAGUCAAGUAAAGUUAUUAAAAUAUAUGAUUUAAUAGUAUAAUGCCACUAUUAAAUUAUAUCGCUUAAUAGUUUUCUUGGAUUUUAACAAAUUCAAGAUCAUUGAUUGGAACAUAAUACUAUGAAAUUGUAUAGCUUAAUGGGUUUUUCAGACUUUAACAAAGUUUAGGAUCCUGAACUAGAUUAGUACUCUAUAUGUAUGUAUACAUUUAUGUAUAUAAAUUGAUUUUCCUUGUUAGAAAUAUGGUAUAUUAAUCUGCUUGCGUGGUGCAAGCAUGCAUUACAGGCUGAAUUGCCCGAUCAGACUGUAGCUGUGAAGAUGCUUUCUUCUCAAUCAAAGCAAGUGAUUGAUCAAAUAGGAACUGAAGUUUAUGCCCUUACAACACUGAAACAUGAAAAUAUUGUCGAAUUUUUGGAUGGCUACUCUAAAAAAGACCUCAACUUGCUCAUCUACGAAUACAUGGAAAAAGGAUCGCUUGAACGAGCCUUGUUUGGUAAACCAAUUUAUAUAUAUUUUCAUCAUCAUUUUAUUUCUAUCAAUUUUUCAGCUUAGUGCCAUCUUCUAAUCGGGGAAUCCUGAACUUUAUUAAAGUUGGGGAUGAAUUUACAUUUUUGUAAGCUAACUUUUUCACUAUUUUUUUAAAAAUUGUUUUCACUCAAUUCCCGAUUGGAAAAUUAAGUAUUAGCUUAUGUAACAGGUUAAAAUUACUUUUAAAAAAAAAUUAAUAGUUAAAUCUUUGCAGAUGCCAAUUCUUCCACGCGACUUGAUUGGCCAGCCAGAGUCCGUAUCUGCCAUGGAAUAGCAAAGGGUCUAAAGUAUCUACACGAAGAUAAUCCGAGUCGUAAAAUCGUUCACAGAAAUAUUAAGCCUAGCAAUAUUCUGCUUGAUGGGAAUCUGAACGCUAAGGUGUCUGACUUGGGAUUGGCAAAGCUUUAUGACGAAGAAAAUCCAUACAAGUUUAUCCAAGAAAAAGGGACAGUGUAAGUAGCAAAUUAAAUUGAGCAAGCACAAAAUGCCUGCCAUCUUGCACAAGCAAUAUCAUUAAUUAAUUAAUUAUGGUUGCAUGCAGAGUUUACAUGGCACCAGAGUAUGCAAUGCGGAAAGCAAUAACAGAAAAAGUUGAUGUUUUCAGUUUUGGAAUUGUUCUUCUUGAAAUAAUUAGCGGGCAGACAAAUGCCAAGUAUGAAGCAAACCAGGAGACUGAAUUUCUUUUGGAUACGGUAAGAAGACAACAACUAGAGUCAGCUUUCAGUUCGGGAAUCUCAAAUUUUAUAAAGCUCUACACAAUACCCUUUUCAUGGUUUACAGAAUCCUUCACUUCAAAAAUUCCAGGAUUCCCAGAUUGAAAAUAUCUCCUCUAUAUACAUAAAAUAAGGUCUUAAUUUAAUUUGCUAACGAUGUCGCAUGGCAUGGGAUAUAUGGAUUAAUUAAUAAAUAAAUAAAUAAUGUACACUGUGCAGGCCAUUGUGUUGCAUUCAAAGGGAAGGCUUUCUGAAUUGGUCGACAAGCAAAUGCCAAAUGAGCAUGUAGUGAUGAAGCAAGCCAAAAUAAUCUUGGAUUUGGCAAUGAGAUGCGUGGAUCAGUCACCUACUCUCAGGCCAACCAUGUCUGAAGUUUUGAGCGAGCUUGAGCGCAUCUCUAAUUAGAUCUGAACUGCUCAGGAUUCUAUGGUUCCUCGUGGAUCCUUAUUGAACGCUGGACUGGAAUGUCUUGGUGAAGGUUAAGCCUAUAUACUACGAUUAUGCAUAUUUAUGUACACCGGGCAUUAUCUUAUGUUGACGGUGCACUGCUGCUUUCAAAUAUAUAUGGGUCGCUAUAAUGCUGUAAACUUUUAACAGCAUUAACAAUGUAAUAAAUGUAUACCAUUAGAUUUAAUUACUCUAAUGCAAUAUUUGUGUUAAAGUAAAAGAUAUCUUAAUUAAUAAUUAUUUUAAACGGUUAAGAAAGUGUGGUCAUUUUUGUAAAAUUAUUACAACCACCCUUAUAAUUUGAAACAAUUGUACUUGAAUAAUAUUUUUAUUUAAAUAUCACUUUUAAAACAUAUUUUUUAAAUAACUUGCAAUUAUAAGAUUUAUAUAUGGUCUAAUUCUAAUAAACAACACAACUAAAUAUGUACAUUUAAAUGAAUAUCAUAAUUUUUUGAAAAUAAUGUUUCAAAAUUUAUUACCAAUGAGCAUGUAAGAUAUGAUAUCUAAUAGAUUAUCUAACACAAAUUGUAUAAAUAACUUACAAUUAUAAGAUUUAUAUAUGGUGUAACUCUAAUAAACAACACAACUAAAUAUGUACAUUUAAAUGAAUAUCAUAAAUUGCAUAAAUAAACUUUUAAGUGAGAUUGAUUGUAUUUUAUAUAUAUUAGGACCUUUGUAUAACUGAACUGAAACAUAUAUUACCUUUGAAACCCAUUUCUCAAAUAUGCCAAGUUCAACCCAGGACACGUAGGCUCGGCUUGGGUUGGGUUUUCCUACUAUCCCUAUUGCCAAGUGAUGUACUAUAUGGAAAAUCCCCACAUGAAAUGCUUUUUGAUGUACCGCCAGAACUAUCUUGCUUAAGAGUUUUUGUUUGCUUGUGUUUUGAUAAGAAUUUAUAGAUUAAAAAUAAAUUUGACCAACAUGUAAAAGGGAUAUCAUAUUACAACCCAUGUAUUAUAUGCAAAUUCUAUUCAGUUCUAAGUACGAAUUUGAUUAUUGUUUUUUACUUUAAUGAAUAUAAAUUAGGGUUGGGCUAUUUAAACCCACCAUAGUACAUUAUACACCCACUUUUCCAUAAAAAAAAUAAUUACGAAAUGUCCAUGAGUUAAAUUACUAUUAUAUCUUAAUGAAAUUAGCCUAUCCUCUCCGACAUCUAUCUAUGAAUCCAAUUAACUUAAAUUGAUUUUUCUACAAAAAGAGUAGCAGAGAGAAAUGUUUUAAUUUUGUUUCAUUUUCUUUUCACCUAUACUCUUCCGAGUACACUUUUAUAGCUAUAUUUUCUUUUAAUGUGUGACAUUGUUGGUUAGCAAACUUCUACGUCUUGGAUUCAAUCCCCUUUCAACUCAAAUAUGUUUCUCAACUAGAGAUAUAAUUAUUUUUAGACUCAAUUAAGGAGCAAAGAGAAAAUAAAAUCUGAAUUUUUUUUGGCUUUUCUUGCAUUUAUGAUGCAAUCAUGCAAUGAGUUCCAUUAAACUAAUUAGAAAAUGUGUUCGAUUGAAUUCAUUACAUGUUAUGAAUCUUGACAAGGAUUAGACAAUAAAUUAAAAAUAAAAGUCAUAUAAUCAAUCAUAAAGAAAACAAAUCAUGCGAGAUGGCUAAGCCAUUGAUAUUUUAAUUUAUUGUUGGGUAUGAUUCAAAUAUACUUUCAUAGCCUUAACGUACUUUCCCAACAGGUGAUUCUGUAUUUCUAGGGAUAAAACAUUUGAAAGCAAUUUAGUAAAGGUAUAUUCGCAAUGAGGUGGGUUUAUAAUUAAAGUAAAAAUUUCAUAUGUAAGAGAGGUUUAUUGAGAGAAUGUGUUGAAAGAGUAUUUUAAUGGGUUCUAAUAGCCUUAUCCUAUAUAUUAAUAUCACUAAGGGAUUUUACCAAUGACCCAUCAAAGAUGUAUUAGUGGAAUUAAUUAGCAGGUGCUUCGUUUUAUAUUCAUAAGACCUAUGACUUGUGUAUUAUUACUACAUUGUAUGUUGGAAAUAGAAGAGGACUAAAUUGCUCAAUAUUAAAAUUAUUUGGGUAAUAGAAGAAUUUGUUAAAUUGAAGGACUUUAGUGAUAGUUUACAAGAAAAACGCUACAACACUCACGGGUCACUCGUCUUUCUCUCUACUAAUUCUUCACUCUUUACUUGAUGCCUACAACAAAGAGCUUUAAGGAUAUUUGUAGUAACUUAAAAUUAAUAUAAAUCGCACAAAUAUCAAAUUGCAAAAAUUUAAUAACCUCAUUUUACAAAUAUCACCAAAUAUUCAAGAACAUUCUAGAUUUAGAUAUUUUUACUUUUAUUAGAUAUUUUUUUAAAUUAGAGUCAUGUUAGAGUGCAAUUUAUGCACUAGUUUUGCAUUGUUUACUUCCCUUAAUAUCGAUGUUUUGCACUUAAUAAUAAUAUUUUACUUGUGUUUUACUUUUGUAGGUGCAAUUCUAUUGAUUGAUGAUAAAAUUGAGCUAAAAGAUGAUGUUUAAGGAGGAUUGUUCUCUUAGAGAAAUUAUGAGCGUCAGAAGAACUUUGUUGAUAAGGCGUGGGCGCGUGCUGUCAACUGCGGACCUGCAGUUUUUAGUUUAACGUGUUUUGUAUUUUUGGUUAUUUUUGUAAUUACGAAUUUAAUAUUUCAGAUAUUAGUAUUUUAUUUUAAAUAGAAUUCUAAAAGAGAAGAGAGAGAGAGUAUUUAAGGGAGGAAUCUAUUGUGAAAAAGGGGGAUUUUUUUGGAUUGGAGAAAAAGAAAGAAACCCUAGAUUUAAUCUUUUCUCUCCUCUCUAUGAAAAACUAAACUUAUUUUUCUGAUUGAAGGUUAAUGAAGCUUUGAUUCAUUACUACUGUGAGAUCUUUCUUGUGCUUUAAUUGUUUUAUUGCUUUUUGGGUAUUUGUUUAUUCUCUGAAUUAUUUUCAUGAUUAUGUUUGUUAAUUAGGUAAUUGGCCACUAUUUAAUUAUCAACUUAAUCUAUUGUCAAUUAAAGGAUUCAUCGUAUGAAGAAUUUAAUGUUUGUGACAAAUAACAUAGCAGAGAGUUGUGUUGUGAGAAUAAACAAUCUAAUUUAAAUGAAUCAUCAUAUGUGUUGAUUAGGAUUUGGGUCUCUCUGGUUUUUCAGGUUGUCAAUUGAUUAAAUCCUAUGAUCGUAUCUAGGGUUGUCUAUUGAUUAGGGAAAUAACCAACAGUCGUACCUUGGUUAUCGACUAGUUAAGGAGAGAUUGGCUAUUAGAGGGUCUCAGUAGCUAUAACCGGUCUAUUCAUGAGUAAUAAUAAUCUAUAUUUGAAUCAAUGAUCAGUAGUCGAAUCAAGCUGAGUUAAUUCCUUCAACCAGAGCUUUCUCUAAUUUGAAUUACAACUUUAAUUUGCAUUCUUGUUAUUUUAAUUUGAUUUUUAUUAUUGUCAACAAUUCCCCCAUUUUACGUUUUACGUUUCAAAAGGAUUUAAAUAAUUACCGAUCUCUGUGGACACGACCCUGCUCAAUCACUAUACACAAUUUAUUUAGAGUAGGAAUUUAUUUUUGUUGGCUUCGACAACCACCAAAUUUUGGCGCCGUUGCCGGGGAUUGGUGUCAUUUAUUUAAUCCUUUUUACGUUUUACUUGGUGUAUGGUUCGUUCUUCUCGUACAGGUACACUUUCGUUUGAUCCUGAAAUUGAGAAGACAGCUCGCCAGCUGAGACAGCAGACACAGUGAGCUAAGCAAUGAUCCUCGUCGCCUUUGCUUUCUGAAACAGAUACAGUGCCUGAUUUAGUUGAAUUAUCUAGCGAUUCAGAAGAACAAGUGAUGGAUAGACCUGCACAUGUAGAAAGAACUCUUAGAGAGUUAGCUGAACCAGACUUGAAUCAGCAACCGCUCUGCAUUCAAUAUGUAGACUUGGAGGUAAAUUUUGAUGAUUAAAUUUCUCUCUACUAAUUCUUCACUCUUUACUUGAUGCCUACAACAAAGAGCUUUAAGGAUAUUUGUAGUAACUUAAAAUUAAUAUAAACCGCACAAAUAUCAAAUUGCAAAAAUUUAAUAACCUCAUUUUACAAAUAUCACCAAAUAUUCAAGAACAUUCUAGAUUUAGAUAUUUUUACUUUUAUUAGAUAUUUUUUUAAAUUAGAGUCAUCUCUCAUUUUCUACACAAUUCUUGAAACUUCCAUGGAUUAAACUUUGAAACUGGGCUUGGCUAAGUAUAAUUGGAUUAGAUCAUGACCCAACACCAACUUUCAUCCUUUGAUCCAUAUUUAGCUGUUGCUAGAACUCUUGAAACUUUUCGAUACUAAGAGUUUUUGUAAAUAAAUCCGUAACUUGAUCAUCCAUCUUGAUGUAUAACAUUUCAACUUUAUCUUACAAGACCUUUUCCCUGAUGAACUGAUAGUGCACCUCCACAUGCUUAGUUCUCCAUUAAGCUUAUAGUCGAUUGGUUAUCAUAAUACAAUGAUACUGCGUAAUCUACUGGUUGGUGUAGCUUCUUCAUCAACUGCGUCAGCCAAGUGCUUUCUUGAGCUGUCAUCACUACUACUCUAUACUCCACUUAUGUGGUGAUAAUGAUAUAGUUGGUUGUCUUUUACUACACUAAGAAACUGUUCCAGACCCAAUUCUAAAAACAUAUUCAGUAGUUGAUCUUCUUGUAUCAUGAUCUCCGGCGUAGUCAACAUCAUAAUAGCAAGUCAGCUUGUAACUUUCACUUCUUGUAACUUUCACUUUCUUUUACAAUAUACCAAAGUUGAUUGUAUUUUUCACAUAUUUUAGUAUUUGUCAAACCAUUUCCAAAUAAAGCUUCUUUGGAUUUUGCAUGUAUAAGCUUAUUGCACCUAUUGCAUAUGAAAUGUCUGAUCGAGUCAACGUUAAGUAGAUUAAACUUUUUACAAAUUGUCGAUACAUUGUUUCAUCUUGUAAAUCUUUGCCUUCAUGUGUGCAAAAUUUUGCAUUGACUUCCAUUAUAGUUGAGAUUGGCUUGCAUUCUAACAUUCAAAACUUCUUCAACAAGUUUUUGGCAUAUUUCUGUUGGCAAAAGAAUAUCCCCUCUUCUAUUCGAUCAACCUCCAUACUAGAAAAGUGCUUAAGCUAACCAAGUUCUUUCAUCUAGAAAUGAGCUAAUUAGUUCUCCUUUUCCUCACCGAAUCUCUUCUCCAUCGUCACCAUAAAUAAUCAAAUCAUCCCUGUACCCCGGUAUAGUUGUUAACUUUCCUUCACUAGCUUUGACGAAUAAGCUAGAGUCUACAUGUGCUACUGCCACUCUAAGUUAGAAAUUCAACAAUCUUACCAUACUAUGCCCUUUGUACAACCGUAUAAUGCCUUUCUUAGCUUGCAUACAUACUUCGGAUGAGCUUGAUUCUCAAAACCUCUUAGUUAGUUCAUGUAGAUCUCUCGAUCCAAUUCUGUGUAGGAAGACAUUUUUUACAUCUAUCCGUCAUAAUUUCCUUUCUUUGCUGGCUGCGAGUACAUGUAGAAGUCUUGAUGUUGUGAGCUUUAUCAUCAAACUAAAUGUUUUAUCAUAGUCUAGCCCGUAUUGUUGUGAGAAUCCUCGAGCUACCAACCGAACUUUGUGUCUUUCAACUGAACCAUCUGGGCAAUUUUUAAUCUUGUACACCCAUUUGCAAGAUAUUUUAUAUCCUUUAGUUUCGGAACCAAAUCCCAAGUUUGAUUAUGCUUCAAUAAGGUGAUUUCUUCCUUUAUCGCCUUCAUCCAAUGAGAAUUCUCUGCUACUUAUUCAAAUGUCUCGGGUUCUUUUACUUUUUUCUUCUUCUGCAACUACUACAUUAAUGUACCUGAGAUUUACCUUUCUCAUUCUUUUGGAUCUUUUAAGUUGAAAUUUAGAAGUUCUUGGUUCUACUUUAUUUGGUUCUUCGUCUACAAUAGAGCUCUAGUGAACACUUGUCUUUCAAGGACUUUGCGCCUUAUUAUGCUCAAUAUCAUCAUCCCUUCGAUCAUCAGAAUCUUCAAAUUCUUCUUCGCUCGAGUGAAUUUCAAUAAUUCGUUCCUUUAUUUGGUCUCCAAUUUCUUUUGAAUCUAAUAGCUCUUCUUUUUCUAAAGACUAUCAUGAAGAUGCUUCGUCAAACACCACAUUUCGUUUUGUGUAGCACCGUCCACUAGUAGGAUCACAACACCUCCAUUCUUUCCUCCGACAUUCAUACUCGACAAAGAUACAAUAAUCGCCUUCUUGUCAAAUUUGCUUCGUAAGUGGCUUGGUACUAAGACAUAGCACACAAAGGUAGAGGCUUUACAUUCCACAGCUUCUCGUAAGGUGAUGUGAACCCUAGUUUUGGUUAAGGAAGCCUGUUGAUCACAUGAGCUAUCGUCUUUAUAGCUUUGGCCCAAAAACUUCUUGGCACAUUUUUCGCAUGUAUCAUAUUCUGAUAGAUCUCCCUUAGAUGCUGCUUUUUUUCAUUCUGCUACUCUAUUCUAUUGUGGUAUAUUGGCACAAGUGAACUAAUGGCAUAUCUUAUAGUCUUAAAGAUACUAGGAGAACUCAUGUGAUGUAUACUCUCAUCCACUAUCUAUUGAUAAUUAGUAAAGCUUCUUUCUUACUUCUCCUUUGACUAUGUUUUUAAAUUCCUUAAACUUUAAAAAAGUAUCAGAUUUUUUUUUUAUAAAGAGGACCCAAACAUAUAUGGAGAAGUCAUCGAUAAAUGUGAUCAUGUAUCGCAUGCCGCUAAUAGAAGAUUGCUUGACAUGCCCAAACACGUCAUAAUGUACCAACUGUAAUAGUUUUUUUGCUCUGAACUUUGACUCCUUAUAUGGGAGUUGGUGAGCCUUGCCGUAUUGACACCUUGCACACACCGUGUUUAUUCUCACAUCAAGUUGAGGCAGACCUCUGAGCAUUGACUUCGGACGUUAUCCAACAUGAAUUUAUUAUAAUGAAGUGUUUGAAUACAACCAUUUUUUGCUGUCCCAGGCCAUGCCAAAGGAUAAUUGAUACAAUACAUCUAAAAUGGAGAAAGGAAGGAAAAAAAAAAAAGGAUGACCAAAGUAAUUUGGCGAAUUACAUUAAAAAGGAAAAACAGUUUUGGAGCUCCAAAGAUGCCGACUCUGUUAUGGAUUUCCUCUACCAGUUGGAAGUUUUCCAACAAUGACUAGAGUAUGUCAUUAUAUUUUUCGUGCAAGAUUACUGAAACCAGAAGAAUCUGCUAAAUCUAUUCUUUUGUCACUGAUCAACAUAUAUGUAGGAAACAUAGAUCAAUGUUUUUUUGUUAGGCAGGAAGCCAACAACUAAAACUACAAAUGUUACUAACAAAUAGCUAAGAAUCAUAAGGUGAUCGAGGAGGAAACGAUCUUCAAAAUCACAAUCAAAUAGGAAAAAUGAAUAAACAGCCCACACUAGGACAAUAGCACUUCUUUUACAGGAAAGAUGAUGUGCUUAAAACAGCUAAAGCUUGAUAAGCAGCAGCGAUGAAAUGAGCUCAAACUACAUUUAAGCAAUCUAUUAGAAAGCUCAACCUAUUCCCAAAAAAUUAGACUCAGAUCUCGGUCUCAUAUGUCUAUAUUAUGCAAAUCAGUACAGAGGAAAAGCUAAAAUGAAAAAAAUAACUAUUUGAAGCUCAUGUUUUAUUUAACUUUCUUUUGAUCUUUAAUCAAAUGGCACUAUACAAUGCAGCAAAUGAGUAUUUAGUUUCAUUCCCCCAACAGCAGUGAACCGAAAAAUACCACACAUUCGAUUUAAUAGAUGAAGUUCUCUUCAUAUCAACAUAUCCAAAAAUUAAAAAUCACCUCUUUGCAAUUUUCUUGAUGUGCAGCCAAAAGCUCAUUAUAUUUCAAUUGCAAAUCUUACAUUUCAGCUUGCAGCUUCUCAUAUUCAGAGACACUAGGAGCUCCUAAUUUCUAUUGAACAAACCUGCCCACCAAAAUAAAUAAACAAAAUAGAAAAACCCAAUUUUUCAGCCAAUUAAAUGAUCCCAUUUGAAAGAAGAAAAGAAUUACAUGAACUUACUCAAGAGCAAAAGAAGGCUUGUCAUUUUGCUCAUACAAUGCAACAAGAACCGGAAGCAACAACAACAACAAAAUGAAACAGAAAUUAAAAUUCAGUUGAAAUAAAAAUAAAAAUAAAAAAAGAAAACGAAAAAAGAGAAGAUGAAAGAGAGGAAUGGAAACCUUUGGUGAGAGCAUCAAGAACGCCACUAGAAUCUAAGUACUUCCUGAAAGCUUCCUUUUUGGCUUCUUUUUCCGGCAAAAAGAUUAAGUGGGGGUUGAAGAUUUCAGCAGAUAUGGUGAUUAUCAUCAAGUGGAUCUGCAUUAUGCAUACAUUAGUGUUACUUCUUUGUAUCGCAUCAUCAUCUGCUCUCUAAUCUUCUUCUUGUGCUCUUCUUGUUGCUGAUGGUAUCACUGAUUCUGUUCAGACAAUGAAAAAUCAAAAAGAAAAGAAAAGAGGAAAAAUCACAGAAAAUUAGAAGGGUUAAUUUCAUUGCACCCCUUAAUUGUUAAUUUAAUUUUAAUUAACCCCAAACGAAACUCUGCACAAUGGACCUACUCUAUUCUAGCCUAAAGUUUUAAACCCAACCCAACCCACUAAACUAACAUGUGACUUAAAGAGAAAGCAAUCAACAAAAAUAAUAAAAAUAAGGUUCUUUAGCACGUUGCACACAUGAUCUGCUGAGUGACCCAGUUGAAAAUGUUAUUUGGUUUAUUCACUGUUUAAGUAGUAUUCAUAAAGUAUGAUAAAAUUGUGUCUCCUUUGUAAUUGUGCUCACUAUAUAAUUAGCGAAAUUGUUCAUCGAAUCAUUUGUAAGUAACCCGACCCUACCCAUUAAACUCAAUAAAAAGAAAACGACAAUUAAAAUAUUUAAAAGAUGGGUUCAUUUUCGUUGUCUGGUUUUGACUCUUCAACGCAUUACAUGCGUUAUGCUAAAUGAUACUAUCCACUAGAGCUGACAAAACGGGUCAUCGGGUCGUGUUCGUGUCGUGUCAGUUUCGUGUCGUGUCAAAUUUAGGUCGACCCAAACUCGACCCAUUUAAUAAUCGUGUCAAAAUAUUGAGACCCAAACCCGACACGAAAAAUAAUCGGGUUAUCCAAUAACCCGUUUAAUAUCUAUAUAUUGAACAAAAGUUACAUCAAAUAUUUACACACUAUCAUACAUACGUAUGUACAUACAUAUAUACAUACAUACAUACAUAAUUUAUCGAUAUUAUAAAAUAUACAUAUCUACCAAUAUAUUACACAUUUACACUAUUGAGGUUUUAAUUAUAUAUAUAUAUAUAUAUAUAUAUAUAUAUAUAUAUAUAUAUAUAAAAAAUAUUAUAUAUCAAUAUUAUAAAAUAUACAUAUCUAUCAAUUUUUACACAUUUACACUAUUGAAACUCUAAAUGUAUGUAAAAUUUUAUAAAUAAAACACUGUAUUUAUAUUCACCCUUUUAAAGAAUAAAAAAAAAUCAUCUCUAAUAUUUGAGUUUUAAUUAUAAGAAUAUGUAAAUUAUUUUAAAAUAGAAAAUAUAAUCGGGUCAUUGAUCGGGUAAAUGGGUCAAGAAUUUUAACCCUAACCCGACACGGAAAAAAAUCGUGUUGACCCAGACCCGACCCAUUUAAUAAUCGUGUUAAAUUUGAUGACCCAUACCCAUUUAUUUAUGUCGUGUUCGUGUCCGGUAAUCGGGUCGUGUCAAAUUUUGCCAGCUCUACUAUCCACAAUGUUAUUUGUUUAGCCUACGGUUUUAAACAUAUGAAAUCAUUCAUAUGGUGUCAUAAAAUUAUGUGUCGCACGUAAUUAGGGUGCGUUUGAGAUUGAAGUGCCGUAACUUUUAUUUAAGCUACAACUGUUGUGGAAAAAAAUUAUAAUUAUGAAACAAAAGUUGGUAACAACCAUGUGGAAAUCAACAAUAAAGGAAACAUUAUUAUUAACAAUAAAGGAAACAUUAUUAUGAAGCCAUAGUUCACCAAGGAAUCAAUACGUUCAAUUUUUUCCAACUUGUCCUGAAAAGCAUUCCACCUACGUGUAAAAGGGCACUGUUUAUCCUGCAAUUGUGUUCCUCUUGUUAAUACAAAUGUACAUGACAAAGGUAAAUCAUUGGCUUUUAAAGGGAACAUGCAAAGUCACCUCAAUUUUUGUGUCACUGGUUUGAUCCUGGACAUUUGAAUUUAUCAAUUGUCUUCUCUCAUCAUGCUUGACUGAUUCUUGCAAAGGCAUUUUUGUUUCAGAGGUUUUCCUUGAAUGAGUGGUUCUGUAGGCAGAGUCAGUAUGUAUUGUUUCCAUGACUGAGCCAAAGAAGUUUGUCACAGAUACCUAUACAGAGAAAGAGAGAAACAAGGGCAAAUUCUUAGUCAAAACUCAGAAGUUAUUUCAACCCCAACAAAAAUUUUGAAUAAAAAGGUAGCAUCAGCUUCAAUACUAAUCAACAAAUGUAAAGCAUAGAGGUGAUUCACCUCAAAAAGUGAUCAUAGUUUGCUUCGAAAUUAGUAAUAUUUAUUAUGACAGUGGUAAACCAUCCUCAGUUAUCCAUAAUUAAGUUUAACAUAGACCAAAGGCCCCUUCACAUCGUUCAGCCAAGCAACCACUAAGCUGAAGAGGUUUAACAAAACAACAUCUAUGUAUAAUUAAAAAAUAAGCAUAAGAUGUACGCAGCUUGUGCAUGUGAAAAAUGAGCACAAACUUCACCUAAACAACCGUAAAGAAUAAAAAAAAAAAAAAGAUCAGAGCGAACCAGUUAGAAUGGAAAUGUAGAAUAGAAAUACUACAAGGAUCGGAGAAAAGCCCAGAACUUCCAUACCUCCUCCAAUUUUCUUUGGUAUAGAUCUGUUCGGUAAUAUGUAGUUGACAUCAACAGAGUUGGAUUGUAAGAAGUGAAAAGACUGCAAAACAACCAUGAAAACAGAUAAUGCUGAAGCUAACCUUGAAGAAAUAUGGAAAUUCACAGAUGUGCCAUAGACAGGGAUGGGCAAAAUCCCAGGCCAGCUCAGGGUCUUAGGCUCCAUUCGGUACUGCUGUAUUGUGGCUGUGCUUCCAAAGCAAAGCUACCAAAGUGUUUAGUAAAACACUUUCAGCUUCAUUUUGGAAGCUAAGCUAAUUCUACCCAUAGUUGUUCUAUGAAAAAUUAUUACCCUCACUAACUUACCUUUAACAAACUUCAAAGCUUUGAUUACCAAACACUAAUUUAGUUUCACUAGAUAGCUAGAGCUCCCAUUUCACAGAAGUCGCGGCUUCAAAGCCUCAACACCACAAUCCCAUAAGAAGCCUUGCUGGUGGGUUAUAAAACUUAUAUUGGUAUACAAGCUUAUGUGUCAGAGACUCUAAGAUACUACUCUUAUAACAAGCACAAAGUCCUACUUUCGUGUACCUGCUCAAUGACGCAUUGUCAUACAUAUUCAGCUUUUCAAAAAAAGCAAGGGUAUAAAAUGUGAAACGAUCCACGACAGAUACUCCAACCUGAAGUUAAUAAGAGAUGUUCAUAUGUAAGAACUGCAAUUGUAGAAGCAAAAUAAAAGAUUGAAACUUCAAAAGCAGGGUAUACUAGGUCCUAUAUGUUUAAAGGAUUGGUAAACAAGAAAAUUCUAUCUUCUUAGCACUUACAUCAGAGUCCAAGUGAUGAGAAUAUGAGUUCUCCCCUUUCAUGCUACUUCCAAUAGCUAAAACACCGGGAGAAUGAAGCUGCACAAUUUAAAAAAGGCGUUUCCUUCAGCAUCAAAAUCACUGGUUAGGUAAAUCAAAUUUUUAAAUGUAUGCUAAGUUAAAAGACUCAGAAAGUCACGUCAAUGGAUCCAAAUUUGAUUCAGAAGCUUGUUACUAAACUCAAAACUUAGAUGAUAGUGACCAGAUAUGUAAACAAAGAGGCAUCUCACAAAAGCCGAGAUGCACAACAAUUGAAAACAUAGCUUUCAUGAACAAACUUUUGGAGAUCUCAUGCGGCAGAGCAGGUGUGUUGGCCCACCAAUGAAACAGAUAACUGCUUGAGUAUAAAGACAUUUGAUUCUUAACUAAUUACGAGUAGUCACCAAUAAAAGAGCAGCUAUGAAGUGGUUCGUAAUUUAACCAUUCGAACCGAGCAACAUAGUUAAAGAUUUUUCUUCACACUACCAUGUGCAUGUUUCUCUAGUUUAAAAAUAAUACUGCAGAAAAGUAAAGUCUAAUAAUCACUAGAAGUAACUAGUCUAAUAUUUGUGAAAAGUACAACCCAUUUAGACCCGCCAUACUAACCUGAGAGAAGAGUGUGGCAGCUUGGCAAGUGUCCACCAUUAUCAGCAACUCCUUGAAUCUAAUUUUCUGAUAAGACACACAAGCUCAUUAUUAAGCAGGAUCGUAAAUGUAUAAAUGUAAACGGCCACCAAAUCUACCAUAAAUGAUUAGCAUUUCAUAUCGGCAUUUUACAUUGAGAAAUAAAUAUGUUUCAUCUAUGCACCAUCCAAAAUGGCAGAACUACAGGUCUAUAAACCCUUUUACUUUCAUUCUUAUGGUUGAAUGUUACUGUUAAAGGCAAUAGGCAUGAAAGCAGAAUACAAUCUCACCUGUGCUUUUCUUUCAUUUGCUUCACUGCAUCUGCUAGAUCAUGACUUUGGAGCUCUUCUGAGUCCUGAAAUUUUAAAAAUUCAUCUCCCCCAUGACCCGUCAUGUAUAGAAGAAUAUGGCUUCCUUCAUCACUUAAAAGACGCUUUGAUCUAGGAACAGCAGCCUCGUGACGCCCGGUCAAAACUCUUAAAAAGUUUUCAACUGUCACUUCAUAACCAUGAUAGUCUACCUGAGUGAUUGAAGUUUAGUAAAAUGAGGAUCUGCUAAACUUUAAUUUCCCAGAAGCAAGGCAUGUUCAGUAAUUAUACACCAUUAAAUUUAAAUUCUUGAUUGACUGUCUCCAUAAGGUGUUCAUUGAAAGACUUAUAAGGAGACGGCACCCCCUUUCAAAACCUAAAGACCUAAGCAGAGUGUCUGGAGAACACAGUACCAACUUCGACAUUAUCUCCAUACAAAUUAAGUUUGUGGUUCUCGUUAUUGAAAACUUGUGCAGGAUACUUGUUUCUAGCAUUACAAGCCAUGUCAUCUGCCAGCAUAAGUAUUAUCCUCUCAUCGGGUAUUCCUAGCCGCUUAACUGUUCUGAAAAAUCAAGUUAAAGUGCACAGUCUACAAAUGAAAAGAGGAGGGAAGAGAAAAGCAAAUUACUUCACAAGACGAUGCGAAAACAACAAACUAAUCGCUUACCUAUACAAGGAUAAUGUAUUAGCCAUAUGUCGAUAAUUGAACCUGAACAAACCAAUUUAGUGAUUAAUUCCAUUGGCAAGGACAUGGAAUCGGUUUUUAGUCCAUCAAAACAAUGCCAUUUGACGUGGCAAUAGAAGUUUAUGAAUCCAAGCAAUAGAAGCUUGAAGAAUCAAGCUCAUCAACAAUAAUGCAGUAAUAUUAGCUGAAACUCAGAAAUUACAACACAAGAAAGAGAAAUUGGACCAUGGGUAUUGUUCAUCAUCAACAUUGUUAGAAAUGGGGUAUAAUUUAUAAUGAAACGGGAAAGCUUGAAUUCUUCCAAAAAUUAAAUCAAAAUCGGGAAAAAAUAUAAAAACUGAAAAUAAAAUAAAAUGAAAUAAAAUAAAAAUGAAGGUGAUUUAGUUACCAGAAGCGAGAAGUGCAAACCAAGACAGCCCAAUUGUUAGUGUGCAUAGUUGUCUCAGCUGAAGCUCUGUACGAAGUCGAACUGGAGAGAAUCAAAAGCAACAGCAUCGCCGCCAAACUUUUGAAACCAAAUGAAUUGUACAUCUUGUACCGGACCAUCAUUUUCUCGCGAAUUUUAAUUUUCUGGGUGGAAAACUCAAAACUGUGAUUUAAAUUUUAUUCGUUUUUGCUGAGGAUGAAAUCUGUUGUUGCAGUUUCAGUGACGCAAACAGUGCUCCAGCCGGAUCCACGUCCCGAAGUUGAAAAUAGGAUACAAAUUUAAAUUUAGCCCCGUUUGAUGUGGAAAUUGAAAUUGAAUAAAAUGUUUAUUUUAUAAUUUAUGAUAAAAUUUGUAUUUGGUAAAUUUUAUAAAAACUGCUAUUUUUUUUGUAGAGAAUUAUUUUUCAUAAACAUUUUAUUAAAUAAUUUAUUAUACAUUAAUUUUUAUUAUAAUCUUAAUAUUUUUAAAAAAUAAUUAUAUCUUAUUUUUUCAUACACCAUAAUAUUAAGCCGUUAGAUAUCAUAUUACUAUCACAAUCAAAUUACAGCUACAACUAGUGUAUAUUCUCUCUAGUAUCAAAGUUUUAAUCUAGUAAGUUUAUAUUUUUUUUAUAUUUUACUUGUAUUUCCUAUUAUAAAAUUAAAAAAAAAUUGCAUAUAAUUAUGUAAAUUUUUUUGAACUUUGAACAAUUUCACAUGAAUUAACCAUAACUUUUAAAAUUAAUUUCAUAAACUUGAUUUUUAAUAUUCAAUCUAUUUAUAUUUUUUCCGUGUUUAUUACAUCAUGUUUAAUAUUAAUGUAAUGUAUAUUACUUUUUUUAUCUAGAUUACGUAUAUAAUAAAUUUAUUUAUUUUUUUAGUUUAUGUCAUUUUACGUUUUUUUUUAAAAAGUUAUGUCUAAACAUCAUUAAAUAUAAUAAAAAAAUAAAAGAUAAUUUAAACUUACGUAUGUUUUGGUUAUUAUAUAAUAAAACAAUAUAUUUAUAAUAAAAUUAAGCAAACACACGUACAUUACUUUUAAAAUUUACAGCAACUGAGACAACGCAGCUUACUAAACACCAAGCAACUUUUUUAAUUAGCUGCUUAUUGUAUCCGUACAGUAAAAGCUGUUAGCCUAAAGGGCUAUACAUAAUGUAAUUUUGAUGAUAACAAACAUAUGUAUUGAGUGAUUUAAUAAAUAUUGUAUUUCACAUUUUUACUAGUUUUUGAAGGAUAAUAUUUAUACAAGUAAAUCAAGUGAAAUCAAGAUUGAAGACACUCAACGGACAAUGGCGACAUCAAGAAUAGUUUAGAGCUCAACGAACAAAUUAGUGCAAUAAAUUCUUGUAAAGCCGGUAUGAUUUAAUUGAUGUUUGAUUUAGCAUUUGAGAAGCUCAAGAAAUUAAUUUAAUUAAAUAAUUUUCAUAAACUAAAAGUUUUUGUUUUUAUAAAGAAAAGUAUUUUGUGAAUUUAAGUAAUUUGGACUUAAAUGCUAAGAUUUGAAAUCUUUGAUUUUAAUAAGUAUUAAAUUUCGGAGUUGGACGUUUUUACAAACAUUUGAAAUGUUUUGGGCCAUACUAUAAUUUAUGAAUAUUUUGGACUAAAGUGAAAGAUUUUGAGAACUUUGAAAAAUAUAGGUAUUAUGUUGAAAAGGAUCUUUGUGUGAAACAAGAAAAUCUUUGGGGCCAUAUCAUAAUUUCAGAAAGUUUGAGAAAGACAUCUAUUUUUAUGAAGUUCUAAAAUUGGACCUAUUUGCAAAGUUUUCUGACGUUUUGGGCCAUAGUAUAAUUAUAGAAAGUUUUGGGCUAAAGUGUAAUUUUAGUGAACAGUAGUACUGUAGCAAAAUUCAAAAAUAACGGUAAUAUUACUGUUCCUGAGCGGCUAGCCGGAUAAUCAAGCGGCUAACCGCUUGAGCGCUGGAAUUUGCCUAUAACGGCUAGUUUUUGGGCUUUCACUAUAAAAACUCAACUCAAACUUCAUUUUAAGUACUAACACAAGCAAAUAUAAGAUCAUAUAACAUAUAUUGAGCUUCCAUUUCGUAAAUCAUCAUUUGUUGAAUCAUCAUUGAGCUAUAAUUUGUUAUUCACUCUUAAAGAGAGUUUUAUUGUUGUGAAUUUCAUUUCUCAUCAAUUUGUGAGUGUACAAGUGUGGGAAACACUUGGGGUGAAGAGAUUGGGGAUAUAAUCUCUUGUUGUAAAGGUUCAUUGACACCUUGGAAGUCAAUUGUAAACAUUUGAAGCCUUGGGAGGCUUGGAUAGUGAAAUCCUCAAGCCGGGUGAGCUUGGAGGCGUGGACGUAGGCGGGGAUAGCCGAACCACGUAAAAAUCCUUGUGUUCGUUUUCUCUUCCCUUACUCUUUUAAUAUUGUACUUGAUUGAAUUUAUUGUUUUUGAUUUGAUUAAGGCGGUAGAUUAAAUUGUUGUGCGAAUUGUAUUGCAUAAAAUUUAAAAUCCCAAUUCACCCCCCCUCUUGGGUUGCAUAACUUGCAUUUCAUUUGGUAUCAGAGCAAGGUGCUCUUGUGUAGACUUAAUCGUCUAGAGUUAAAGAUCCAUGGCAACCCAUAGUGACUCAACUUUUAGGGAAGGACAAUCCACAAUUAGACCACCAUUCUUUGACGGUAAUGACUACCCAUAUUGGAAAACUAGGAUGAGAAUUUAUUUACAAGCUUUAGAUUAUGAAAUUUGGGAAAUUGUUUGUGAUGGUCCAUUUAUGCCUUUGAUUAAAAACGAAGUUGGGGAAGAUAUUCCAAAACCUUCAAGGGAAUGGAAUGAAUUGGAAAAGAGAAAAGCUUCUCUAAACUCCAAAGCUAUGAAUGCCUUGUUUUGUGCACUAGAUAAGAAAGAGUUUCAUAGAGUAUUUAGUUGUGAAAGUGCUAAUGAAAUUUGGCACAAACUUGAAGUUGUUUAUGAAGGCACGAAUCAAGUGAAAGAGUCUAAAAUUAGUAGGUACACUCGACAAUAUGAAUUGUUUCAAAUGGAACAAAAUGAGAGUGUGUAUUCUAUGUAUACUAGAUUUACGGACAUAGUGAACACUCUAGGAGCCCUAGGAAAGACCUUUUCAAAUAGUGAGAAAGUUAAGAAAAUCAUUAGGUCGUUACCUAAGGAAUGGAGACCAAAAAGGACUGCCAUUGAGGAAGCCAAAGAUUUAAAUAUUUUAUCUAUUGACGAUUUAAUUGGUUCUCUUAUUUCUUAUGAGGAAGAUUUGGCAGCCGAAAGAGGCAAUGAGGAGAAAAAGAAAAGCAUUGCUCUCAAAGCCAUGAAACAUGAAAGUGAUGAGGAAAGCGAGCUGGAUGAGGAAGAGAUGGAUAUGCUGGCUAGGAGGCUUAGAAAACUUUUUAAGAAAUCCGGUGAGCGAAGAAAAUCUAGAGACCUCAAGAACCGAAAGGAGAAGAAGGAAGUAAUCAAAUGUUAUGAGUGCAAGAAGCCCGGUCAUAUAAGAACGGAAUGCCCUCUUCUCAAUAAGCUCAAGAAGAGAGCAAUGGUAGCCACAUGGGAUGAUAGCGAUGAGGAAACAAGUGAUAGUGAAGAACAUCAAGAAAUGACAAAUCUAGCUCUCAUGGCAAUUGGAGAUGAAUUGGAUGAUGAACUUGAUAAGGUAAAUGAUCUUUCUACUUAUGAUGAAUUAUAUGAUGCUUUUAAAGAAUUGCAUGAUAAUUGGAUAAAAAUUGGUAGAAAGAAUGCAUGUCUUAAAAAGAAAAUGGUAAAGCUCACAAAUGAGAAUGAAUCUCUAAGUGCAAAGAUUACAUGCUUAGAAUUAGAGAAUAAAACAUUGCAUGAUAAAGUUGCAUUAUCGAAUGAGAAACCUAGCACUUCACAUGAGCAUCUAGAAUCAUAUGUAGAUGACUUGAAAAAUGAAAAGGAUGCUUUACAAAAAUGCAAUGAUUCAUUAAAUGAAAAGAUUAAAGGACUAGAAUUAGAUAAUAAAAUGUUGCAUGAUAGAAUUGCAUCAUUUAAAGGUAAACAAAGUAUUUCAUAUGAGCAUGAAAAAUCACAUGUUGAUAAGUUGAUAAAAGAAAAUGAAGUGCUUAAGAAAAAGAGUAAUGAGCUCAAUGAAAUUGUGUUAAAAUUCACAAAUGGUCAAAAGAACUUAGAAAAAUUACUAAGCACUCAAAAAUGUGUGUUUGAUAAAGGAGGACUUGGGUAUAAGCCUUAUUUGAAACAAAAAUAUUAUAAGAAUUAUUUUGUUAAGGCUACCUCCACAAGUGAUCAUAAAAUUGUUUGUCAUUAUUGCAAUCAAAAUGGUCAUAUGAGUUUUAGAUGUUCAGUGAAAAGAAAUGCAUAUUAUGGAGCAAAAUGUAUUUGGGUUCCAAAAGGAACCAUUGCUAACACUCAAGGACCCAAGAAUAUUUGGGUACCAAAAUACACAACUUGAACAAUUUUUUGUAGGUACCACAAUCAAGGAAUGGUGGAGAAGUUCCUUGAUGAAAGCUUGUGAGGAUAAUCAUUUGAGCAUGAUCUAGGAGAAAAAGAUGAGGCAAGAUGAUUUAAUUGUUUUGGUAAUAAUUCUUGCCAUAUUAAUUUUGUUGAAUGAAUUAUGAUAAAUGAAUUUGCGAAAAUAUGCUUGUAUGUUUACAUGAUUGAAUUAUCAUUGUGUUUAACAUUGAGUGUUUUAUCAUGAUGCAAGGUUAUAUAUAAAUGAUGAUAGUUUAUCAACUCAUCAUGAUGGAUUUGUUUGAUGUUAAUGUUUAUGAAGUGUUUAAGCAUGAUAGUUAAGUGGUGUGUUUGAUUUAUUAACUUUUGAAUGCUUAUAUGUUUAAUUAUUGUGUAAAUCCCAAGUUUGCACAAGCUGUAAUGAAUUGGUCAUAACUCCUUCUAGAGAAGUCCAAAUCCAUCUCUGUAAAAUUUAUUGGAAAGCUAACUUAAUUAUCUUUCCAACGGUAUAUAGCUUGCAUGUUAAUUCUGGCUCAAUCAAUACAGUUUUUAUUUCGAAGUUGACCUUUCUGCAUUUUCUUAAGUUUUGAAUGCUUAUAUGCUUCAUGAUUGUAUGCUUGAUGGAUGGAUUAUUUGUUUGAAUUAAUUAUCUUUUGGAUGUUUAAAAUCAUGAAUUGUGCAUUAAAUUGGCUCUUGAGAUGUUUCGGGAUCACAAAAUGAUCACGGAAUUGAUAGAAACAAGCCGAAAAGCAAGUAGAGUGCAAGUGGACAGCAACCAGGCGGCUAGCCGCUUGGAAAACUGUCCCAAACCCGAGAGCAAGCGGCUAGCCGCUUGCCCCCAAGCGGCUAGCCGCUUGGUCACUGGUUGGGAAAUUUUUUUUGCUUGUUCUUCUUCCUUCGUGAUUUUUCUGCACAUGUUUCUCUUCUCUCACCAAAACCGUGAACAUCCUCUCCAUUUUCACCUCCAUUUUCUUCCUUUUUCAUCCAUUUUCAUGCCCAAAUCAACCAUUCAAACUAAUACCCAUGCAUUUCAUCUUCAUUAAACACUUCUCCAUCAUGAUUUCUUCACUUAUUUUUCACCAUUUCAUCAUCAUCUCUCACGAGUGAACAGUACCUCACCAUUUCUCUCUCAAAAUUCUUCAUCUUUCACUCAUUUUCUUGUUAAAAUCAAUCAUCCAAAUCAUUAUUCAUCCAUUACUCCUUCAAUUUUCGUUCUCAAAACUUCAUUUCAUCAACUCUCCACAUUAAACCCAAAAUCAAAAACCUAACUCUACCCGUUUCUCUCUCUACAUUUUCAAGCUUCCUUUAGCCCAUUUUUGAUCCAAUCUAACUCAUAUGUUAGCUUCAUUCAUCUCUAGGAUCAAUUUUCUUGGCUCAAACAAAUCCAUUUCACUCAAUUUUUGUUAAACCCGAAAUUGCAUAUUUAAGCUCUUUUUAAUCCACUUUUGAUCCAAUCAUCACCAUCCAUUAUCUUAAAUCAUCUCUUGGAUCAAUAUAAUCGGUUUAAAAUCAUUCAUUUCACUCAUUAUUUUACAAAACCGAAUUUGUGCAUUUUGGGUAUAUGCACCUACAUUUUCAUAUGCAUAAUUAUGGAUUGUGGAUGAUGGUUGUUUAAUAUUUGGAUAUGUUAUAUUUGGAUGAUGUUUUAUGCUUAAGUCUUAUGUGUUGCUUGAUAACUUGGUGGAGUUGUUGGUUUGUUAUACUUAUUAAACCUUAUAUGGAAGUGUUUUUAACUAUGUUGUGUAUUUGAGGAUUUGUCCAUUUUAAGGGGAGACUCUGACGAAAUUUUUUCUCGCACAAAAUUGGUAAUAUCUUUAUCGAAUUAUUUUUGAUGCUUUUGUUUCAAUUGUAUCUAUCUAUUUUUUUAUGAUAAAGGGGGAGAUAAAAAUGAUAUGUUUUUGGAUAAUAUGCAUUUUGGAUAAAUUUUUUAAUUGGCCAUAUAUUUAGGGGGAGCAUAUAAUAUGAUUUUGGAUAAUAUGCAUUUUGAGCAUUCUUUUGAUGGCAUGAUGGUUCAUGAUCAUUUAAUGGUUAAUUGGAUGUUUGGUUAUUAUAUAUAUAUUUUUUAUUAACCAUUGACAUAUUAUUGAUCUUAGCAUGAAUUUCUAAUAAUUUUGAUGAUGAAGGGGGAGAAGUCAUGUAUUUUGAAUAUAGAGACAUAUAAUAUGUAUUUUGAUAUUGAAGUAUUUAUGAAUGGUUUUGAAAUAUUAAGGGGGAGUUUUUGUUUUGAAUUUGAUUUAUAUGUUUAAUUAUAUAUGCCAUGUAUUAAGGGGGAGUAUAAAUGUCAAAAUACAUGAGAUGUUUGUCAUCAUCAAAAAGGGGGAGAUUGUUAGCCUAAAGGGCUAUACAUAAUGUAAUUUUGAUGAUAACAAACAUAUGUAUUGAGUGAUUUAAUAAAUAUUGUAUUUCACAUUUUUACUAGUUUUUGAAGGAUAAUAUUUAUACAAGUAAAUCAAGUGAAAUCAAGAUUGAAGACACUCAACGGACAAUGGCGACAUCAAGAAUAGUUUAGAGCUCAACGAACAAAUUAGUGCAAUAAAUUCUUGUAAAGCCGGUAUGAUUUAAUUGAUGUUUGAUUUAGCAUUUGAGAAGCUCAAGAAAUUAAUUUAAUUAAAUAAUUUUCAUAAACUAAAAGUUUUUGUUUUUAUAAAGAAAAGUAUUUUGUGAAUUUAAGUAAUUUGGACUUAAAUGCUAAGAUUUGAAAUCUUUGAUUUUAAUAAGUAUUAAAUUUCGGAGUUGGACGUUUUUACAAACAUUUGAAAUGUUUUGGGCCAUACUAUAAUUUAUGAAUAUUUUGGACUAAAGUGAAAGAUUUUGAGAACUUUGAAAAAUAUAGGUAUUAUGUUGAAAAGGACCUUUGUGUGAAACAAGAAAAUCUUUGGGGCCAUAUCAUAAUUUCAGAAAGUUUGAGAAAGACAUCUAUUUUUAUGAAGUUCUGAAAUUGGACCUAUUUGCAAAGUUUUCUGACGUUUUGGGCCAUAGUAUAAUUAUAGAAAGUUUUGGGCUAAAGUGUAAUUUUUGUGAACAGUAGUACUGUAGCAUAAUUCAAAAAUAACGGUAAUAUUACUGUUCCUGAGCGGCUAGCCGGAUAAUCAAGCGGCUAACCGCUUGAGCGCUGGAAUUUGCCUAUAACGGCUAGUUUUUGGGCUUUCACUAUAAAAACUCAACUCAAACUUCAUUUUAAGAACUAACACAAGCAAAUAUAAGAUCAUAUAACAUAUAUUGAGCUUCCAUUUCGUAAAUCAUCAUUUGUUGAAUCAUCAUUGAGCUAUAAUUUGUUAUUCACUCUUAAAGAGAGUUUUAUUGUUGUGAAUUUCAUUUCUCAUCAAUUUGUGAGUGUACAAGUGUGGGAAACACUUGGGGUGAAGAGAUUGGGGAUAUAAUCUCUUGUUGUAAAGGUUCAUUGACACCUUGGAAGUCAAUUGUAAACAUUUGAAGCCUUGGGAGGCUUGGAUAGUGAAAUCCUCAAGCCGGGUGAGCUUGGAGGCGUGGACGUAGGCGGGGAUAGCCGAACCACGUAAAAAUCCUUGUGUUCGUUUUCUCUUCCCUUACUCUUUUAAUAUUGUACUUGAUUGAAUUUAUUGUUUUUGAUUUGAUUAAGGCGGUAGAUUAAAUUGUUGUGCGAAUUGUAUUGCAUAAAAUUUAAAAUCCCAAUUCACCCCCCCUCUUGGGUUGCAUAACUUGCAUUUCACGAAGGUCCCGUCCCCAAGUUCGUCUGCCGCAAAAAUGCCCUAAAAAUGGGUGGAUCUCAUAACCGGACAAAUAAAUUAUCUUUAAGCCACCAAAACUAUUUGAAAAUUUUUGGGCAAUGGAAAAUGCUAUUUCCACAAAAUCAAAAGAAAUUAAUUUUCCUAUGUCGGAUGGACACGGUGUUGGUUCGAUUUAGAAUUAAUCCAUAAUUUGGUUCCCCUUUUUUUGGUUUUUUAAAGUUCAUUCAUUUGUAUUUUGUGAUUUUUUUUAUGUUACGUUUACUAAUUCUUAAUUAGAAUGGAUGGAAUCAGAAUGUUAAUUAAUAAUCAGAAUAAUUUUUUUUACUUUACUUAUAGGAAUUGGAAUCAAAAUGAGUUGUAUUACUAUUAAUCUAUUUAUUUUGUCUUGGAAUCAAAAUAGAUUAUUACAAGUUACUAAAAUAACCUAAGUUGAUUAUUUUCAUUAUUUAUUAUAAUAUUUUUUAUUAUGAUUAUUGUCAUUCAAUAUAAUUAUUGUUAAUAAUAAUAAUAAUAAUAAUAAUAAUAAUAAUAAUAAUAAUAAUAAUGACGACAAUGAUAUAUUAUUAUUACUACUACUACUACUAGUACUAUUAUUAUUGUAUUACUAAUGAUAAAUAAUUUAGGACCUAUUUGAAAGUGGCAAAAAUUAAUUAGGGUAAUUUAAAAAUUAUAAAAAUUUAAUGGGGGUAAAAUAAAAAGUUUAAGGAAAAGAAACUUGAUUCUCAACAUUCCUUAAUAGUUAAUUCAAAAACAUAUGAGUCUCAUAUAUUUCAUUCUCAUUCUCACUUCUACUUUAACAAAUAAACGCUAUCAAUCAUUCUCAUUUUAGAUUUUGAUUCAUCAAUCCUACAAAUAAACACACCUUUAAUAUGAACUGAUCGAUUUUUAUUGAUUUUUGUAACCAAACCACAUCAAAUUGAACCAUUGGUGCUGUUUGGUCUUUUAGUGGGCAUUGAUUUUUUUUUGUCCACCCCUAUCCAUGCCUAUAAAGAAGGGUUUUUGUACACUCCUGUUUAGUGUUGCAUUAGCUCUCCGUGAGUCCUUCUUUAAUUAAAAAAAAAUGUAGGGUGGGUGUAUAAUAAAAGAAGCGGGAGUUAUGUAAUAAAAAAAAAAUUACUUAUUUGUAGAAUUGACUUGAAGAUAAAGGGGCAUGUGAGUGAUGUCAAGGUUGAGCUUUAAAAAAGCUCAUAGGAGUGGUCUUCAUGGAUCAAAUACCUUACGUAGCCCACUUAUAAAAUUGGGCCUUCAAAAGAGUUUUAAGUCAACCACUGUUGAACUUGUUCAUCUUCAUCCGACCUUGUGACAUGUUUUGGUUUUUUUUUUUUUUGUUAAUCUCUCUGAUUCUUUUUAGUUUAUUUUUAUUUAUUUAUUUUUAAAUAGAAUUUUAUGCUAACUAGUAUUAUGAAUAUUCUUGUUCAAAUACGUACAUGGGUAGAGUGGAAUGCUUAACACUCGGUAACAAUGAAAAUAGUAAUAUUAGUAAUCAUUUGAAAAGUUUUAGUUUAUAGUCUAAUAUAUAGCCUGGUGCUUAGGUUCAGAUGUUCAGAUGAAUUUAAAAUACAGAAUUAAAAGAUAAGAAAAAUACGAACUAGAAUGCACUAUUCUUGUCUUUAGUGUAUCGAAGUUUAUAUCUUCUUUUUCUUUUUUAAUCUUUCAACUCCAUCCUGAUAAUUUUAAAAUAUGAAUGUCAGCAAUUAAGCAUGACUCAUCAUAUGCUAUAUUAAUUUAAAUAUACAUUUUGCAUUAAAAAAUAAAGAAUACUAAAUUCUAGUUUGUAAUCAAUCCUUCUAAUAAAAAGACUUGUUUAAUAUAGUAGUAAGUAUCCUACAACACCAUCAUCAUGAGUUUUAAUUUGACUUUUAAGAACGGACAAAGAUCCUCUUUUAAUAUUUUUUCCCCUAAUCUUUUCAAGUGAAAUAAGUGGUUAAGAUUGAAUUUUAACAUCAGAUAUUGACGAUCAAGCCAAAUUUUUUUCACUUUAUUUAGAAAUAAAUUUAUAAAUAUUGAAGGACUAAGAGAGAUUAAAAGAGAUUGAAAAAAAAGAGAGAAUCCUAAUCCUUGAAGAACAAACCCAAAUUCUCUAUCCUAUCAAAUGAAAUUCUAAUGCAAAAUAAAGAAAAAUGAUAGGUAAAAAUCAGUGCUCUAAAAGUGAGCGGAGAAUUGAUUUUUCUUCCCUUACUUUAUAAAGAGAUGGUGCUAAUAAUAAUAUACUUAAACAAAGUUGUAGUGGGGAAUAAACAUAGCAUGCUAAAGCCUAAUAAUAACUAAUAAUGGGAAGAAAUGCAGCAUGCCGCAGCAUGAAAUUAAAAUCAGCCUAAUCAGGUUAAUCAAUAUCUUGUGUGGCAAUCUUUAGCACCUUCAUUCCAUCUUUUAUUUGCUUACUUUUCCUAUGAAGAAACAAAUGGAAAAAAGGCAGAUUUUUAGCUACCAAUCAAAUUCAACACCCCCAAUACCUUUCGAGAGAAGUGGACAUCUUUAGCAAUUUGGUGGUUUUUUUUUAAUAUUUGAAUACACUUGAAGUAGUCUGAAUUGUAAAUAAAGUUGAAUGUCUGAAUUUAAAUAAUAUAUUUUUAAAAUUGUUAAAAAUAAGUAUUAAAAUAUUUUUUAACUUAAAAAAUCCAAAAACUAUUAUUUUUACAUUUGUGCCCUUAUAAAUGUGAAACAAAUAAUCACACAUAUUAAAGAAUACAAAUAAAAUAAUAUAUUAUGAACACAAAAAAUCAUACUCAAUUGAAUACAAUUCUUUAAUAUUCUUAAUUAGUACAUGUUAAUUGAUUUUAUUGUAAUUUACGAUGUUUUUAUAUUGUUCAUAAAAAAAUAUGAAGAUAAUAAUGCUAAUUUGAAGAAAAUAAAAAGAUAAAAUAAUAAUAGUCUAUCAUUACAUCAACACAAGUUAUAGAGAUAGAUAAUAAUGUUAAUUAUUAAAUUUUAUUCAAGUAAGGAAGAAAAUCGAAUUAAAUUGGGAUAUUUUGGAGAAUAUCUUUUAAUGAUUAUCAUUAAGACUUUUUAGAUUGAGCAAAAAGCUAAAAAAAAUUGGAUAAUAACUUAAUGAUUUAAUGACUGAAAAUUUUCGUUAAGUUGAAAAAACAAACGGACUUAAUGACUUAAUUGAUUGAAUUUAAGUUAAUUAAGCCAUUAAGCAAAACAAACAAACAAACAAACAGGCCCCUCUUUAGCUUUGCUUUGCAUGCACUCAAAAUCUUGAUAAAAACCCCUCUUUUAAAUUUACAAUUGUAACCUCAAAGGAAAAUUAUAAAUGACAUUAAAAGACAAAGACAAGAACUCAUCUGUGCUCAAUUAUUCAUAAUCUUCUAUCACAAAUACAUGUACAUUAAUAUUUGACUAAGAUUUAAUUAGUUUUAUAUUAUUAUCUAAUAACUACCAAUUAUAUUUCUAAAAUGUUAGCAAAAAGUUCAAUUCAAUCUUGAAUUUAAAUCCUAUUAUUAUGUGUGGCCUUUUCAGUACUUCAUAUGAGUUUUGCUUGGUCUCUUUAGGAACUAUUACAUAGUUUAUGAUUUUAUCUCUUGUUUGGUUGUUGAUGUUUUUUGAAUUUUGAUAAUAUAUGUAACUUGCAAGUAGUUUGAGUUUUUUUUUUCUCAUUUGCACAAUGAUUUAAAAGAAUAAAAAAAUGAAAAAGGUCAAGAGUAAAGUUUUGUAUCCCAAUAUUCAAGUCCUAAUUUAAGUUUCAGCUAAUAUAAUACUGAUAUAACGUUCAUCUAUUGAAUGGUAGUUAAAUAAUUUAUUGAAUGAUAGUUAAAUAAUUUUAGAAGUUAUAAAUUAUAUUAUCUAAUAAAUGAAUGGUAUUUGGAUUUAAGUUAAGAUUCAAAUGUUGGGAUGUCCAAUAUUAUUGAAAACUUAAUACAGUAACACUGGCCAAGUUCGAAUAUUCAUCACACUCGAGAAACAGACAAAUUGAAUACAUACCUCAAGAAGAUCCAACAAUAAUACAUGUCAUGCUCUUAUUUUAUCAUAAGUGGCUAGUAUAAUUAAUGAAAGUAGCAGUGUACCAUACAUUCUGAUUUCUCAAUCUUGAUUCUUCUUCCAGACAGCCGGCUUGUCAAGAGCAAAAGGGGAAUUUUUCAGAUUGAAGCAACGACUAACCUCUGCAUAACGUAGUAUAGGUAGGGAUGGCAAAAAUCCCCACGGGGACGGGUACCCUUGGGAAUUUUCCCCAUUCGGGGAGGGUAUGAGGAUCAUUUCAUACCUAAUUUCUUAUUCGAGAGGGGACGGGGAUGAGGUGGAAUCCCCUUCCCCUACUCAUUUCCCCAUUUUAAUUUUUAAUUUUAUUUGUGCUUAAGAUUAAUCCAUUUUGGCAGAAUUUCGUGACGGUAUCGCCUGAGGUAAAGCUCCUGAAGGCUCGGAGGAGGCAAAAGCCUAUCCACCAUCUGUGGUACAUGUUUUUCUUUACAAUCCUCUGCAUCAACAGCUAAAACCUUGAGUUUCUCGAGCUGUGAUAAGACAUUCCAUUCAUCUUCCGAGAUUUCACUCUCAUUAUUUAUGGACAUUCGUAGAACUCUUAGCUGCUUCAGUCCCAGCAGCUCGUUAAGUCGACAGCCUUGUGCGUUCGCCACCCGAAAUCCAGACAGCUCCUGGAGAUAAAUUAGCUUCUUGAGUCCACGAGGUAGAUACUGGAGAGGACAAGAUCCGAGGUCCAAGAUGAUCAACUUCUUCAAACUAGUAAUUGAUGGAUGUAGUUUGGUGCACCUCCUCAGAACAAGUAUUUGGAGAUUACGAAGCUUUUGAAUUGAAGAUGGGAGCU